rnacentral:lncRNA from 1 species
UCGUUGAUUGCCUUUUCAUAGCCCAAUCUCAGUGAUGCAAUUGCCAUAUGCCGAAUUCUUAGUCGUGAAUCUGCCAAAAUCUUGUUGUUUGCUUUUCCAUCAAGUUUCAAGCAGUUAGUAAACUCAAAACAAAUUGCUGCUGACUCCAGAGAUUGAAUAAGGUCAGGAGAGGGUUUCGAUAACUUUUCGAGUACGGAUGCAUCUAGUUCUUGUAGACAUGACGGAAUCUCUGGCAAAGAUUGAAGCCGCUUGCAGUUCCUUGCUUUUAGUGAUUGUAGACACAAUGGAAGUUCUGGUAAUGACCGAAGCAUGUUACAACCCGUCAAGUCAAGAGAUUCAAGACACAAUGGAAGUUCUGGUAAUGACUGAAGCAUCUUACAACGCUCCAAGUGAAGAGACCUCAGCCGCGACAGUUGCUUGAUACUUGCAGGUAAACUCUCAAAGUUAUUUCCACUUAGAUGCAAGCCUGUCAGUGAGGAUAGACAGGCAAUCUCUUGUGGAAUUUCCAUUACAGCACAGUUCCUUAUAUUUAGACGUCCCAAAGAAGAUAAACCUAAUAAUAAUGAUCGAGGCAAUGAUACCAAACCUUUGCAUCUAGAGAACUCAAGAAUUCUAAGUACGUUUGAAUCUGCAACAGAGGAUGGUAGUUGACUAAUAGCUGAUCCAGCUGCACAGAUGUAACGCAAAGAUUUUAAAUUGCCAAUGUUAUCCGGCAACUUAUCAAGUUUAGAGCAAUCUUCUACGAACAAUACUUCAAGUCCCGGUAGAUUUUCAAAUGACGAUGGCAGCUCUGUAAUUGCCGUAUGGCCUAAAUAGAUGCGUUUUAAAUGUUCCAUUUUCUCCAAGAUUUCUGGGAAACGCUCAAGGUUCACGCAGCCAUUAAGAAAAAGAUCAACCAACGAUCUCAAUUUACAAAACCCAGUUGAAAUCAUCUUCAGCCGUUUGCAAUCCCUCAAAUCCAACACUAUAAGAUCAGUUAGGCACUCUAUUGAUGAUGGAACUUCUUCUAUUGCAGACUGGAUUAAGUAUAGCCGUGUAAUUUUCCCAGAAAUCUGUGGAAACUCUACGAGAUUAACACAAUAGGAGAAAUUAAUAGUUACUGGACAAACAAAAUGAAGAUUGGUUGGAAAAGACCUAAGACUUUUGCAGCCCAUAAAAUCCAACCUACUGAGAUACUUGAAAUUCUGGAUAGAUGAGGGAACACAAGCCUUUUCUCCUUCCCAAAGUUGCUCAACUUUACUUAAACGCAAAUUCAGUUGAACGAGGUUCUUUGGCUUGAAAUUUGAUGGCAGUGUCCUUAAUGGAUAUGUGUCCCAAUGAAGAUAUCUCAAUUUUUUAGGAAGAUAAUCUAGACCAUUUGGAAGCUGCACUUUAGAGUAUGAAAGUUGCUCUUCAAUGAUCAUACUUAGAAACCUUUCAAUCCCAUAAAACUUAGGUACAUAAAAUUUGAGCAAUCUCAUACUAGACAUAUUUGUGAAGGUUCCGGGGUCUAAAUUAAUGCCUUUUAUUUUGGACAAAUCCAGAAAUAUGCCUUCAAUUGCAUCGGUCCCCUUAUUAAAAAAAAAACAAAGAAUGAGUAAUCCUAAAACAGAAAAGAAACAUUCGUAAACUUUAUUAACUAAGAGCUCCUUAAACAAAAACAAAUUCUGCAAUCUUUGAUUUUAUUUUUUUAAUAUAUUAAAUAUCUAUAUGCGAGAAAAGAAAAUUUUGGGGGCCAUUGCAAAAUUAAACUAACCGAAAAAAAAAAUUCAAAAUUUCUCUAAUUUACAAACCUGUUAUCUUAAUAUCUAGAAGUUGAGAAGACAAGGCCUAUUUGAUUGGUAUAAGAUUUCAAUUUUUUUUUUUUUUUUUUUUUUUUUUUGUCGAUAGAAUCCAAAAUGUUAGUUCAAAAUUAGGGAAAAAAAUGAAAGUCAUUUUUUUUUCCACUAGCUGUAAUUGUAUCCAAGUCAAAUUGAGAUACAACCCUUUUUGAAAGAAUUUAACCAUCUUACAACCUCCUUAAGGUACAUUUAAGAUAAAAGGAGUGAUUGGAGGCAGAACUAGGUGGGCCAAUCAGUCCAUUUUAUUAGCGACUGUUGCUUAAAAAAAAUUAUACUCUAAAACACACUUACAUUUUUGAAAAAAUAUAUAAUUAUAUUGAAGUAGAACCAGGUGGGCCAACCCUCAUGGCACUCACUUUGUUCUGACACUUUUCACUAAAUUUGAAGAAAAAUAAAAUUAUACUCUUCACACUCUUAUUCAACAUUCCAAAUUUGAUAAAAUCGGGAGUUUUCUUUAAAAAUUUAAAAUUUGAAGACUUGUUCUCUUGACACCCUCAGUCAUUAAUUUUACCUAAUUAUGGGUUUUAUGAUUUUGGUUGUUUUGUUCAUAAAAAUGCUUUUACUAAAGGAUGUUCUGGUAAUAAUAAAAUUUAUAAAAAAAACAUGGGUGUGCUGGUAUGGUUGGAAAAAUAUGAGUGCAUAACUCCAAACAAAUAAAAGAUAUAUAUAAAAAAAAAUGGAGGAUUCUUACCUUAUUAUGCUUGAGUACGCGGCGGAUUUCCUUAGGAUCCCACAACCUGCUGCGUUUGCCUGGCUCUUUCUCAGAUUCUUGGCGAACAAUCCGUCGCCCCAUUUCUUGCAAUAAAAUCAUGCAUUUGCAAGCAAUUCCCUGAUACUGAUAUGAGUGACUUAUCAAUAAGGACAUUCACGUCAUUCAGUCCAUAAGACUUAGAAUCAUCAAGUAUCCUUAUCACAAAAUCUUUAUCCUCUCCCUCAAAGAAACAAGCAAUAUCUAGAAAUACACUCUUGACAUUGGGCGUUAAUUCAUUAAAACUAAUCUUUAAUAUAUCAUACAUAUUAUGAAUAUCAGAUUCACAAAUCCGAUUUAAGUCGUCCAAUACGUUUCCCCAAUGGCUUUUCCUCUUGAGGGAGGAACCCAACACUUUAAGAACUAAUGGAUUGCCAUCAGCAUACUUUACAACUCUCCGUGACUCACGUUUGAAAUCUUCAGGACAAUGCUUUUCUUUAAAAGCGAAGUUACAAAAAUGCUCGAAAGCCUCAUCAAAUUUCAAUCCAUUAACCCUAUAUAUUUUCUCCACUGGAAACGUCUCGAGGACAUGUUUAUUCCUAGUGGUGAUGACAAUUCUACUUCCUGGACCAUACUGAUCAAGCCCUCCAAUCAAACCCUCUAAUUGUCCAUCUUUACUCACAUCAUCAAGCACAAUCAACACCUUCAUGCGUCGGACCCUCUCUUUAGUAAAUUGUGGAAUAUUGGGACCAUCUACUUUAAGUUUUUCUCUUAAUAUCCUUGAAAGAAUUUGCUUUUGUAGAUCUUCUAAUCCAUCCCCUCGUUCUAUAUUUCUCCUAACAUCUGACAUAAAGCACCUACCUUCAAACUCUCUGGAGAAUUGAUUGAAAAUAGCUGUGGCAAGGGUGGUUUUGCCUAUACCACCCAUGCCCCAAAUUCCAACAAUUUGGACAGUAUCCCACAAAUCCAUGCACAGAAAUGGUUUAAUCUGCUCAAUUCGUGAAUUUAAUCCAACUAGGCCAUUGGAUGAGUCCGUUGAGACUGUUAUUUUUUCCAUCUUCUUCAAAACAUCUUCGACAAUUUUGCUUACAAGUUGCGCAUCAUGCCUAAUAUGAAGGUGCAAAGAUGCAAAAACAUUGAGUCAAAUCGGGCCAACACAGAAACAGAGAUAAGAUGAAUUAGGAAAGAGAGUUACCUGAAUUUCGUGGAUUCGUGGCCAGCUAGAUGGGAUGUUUCUUUCAGUGCAUCCCUCCACUUCUGAACCAUUUCUGGCUUCUCUUUGAACUGUUGUUCGAGCUUAUCAAAACCGUGCCCAAAAAUUCCAGCUUGAUGCCGAACAUCGGACGGACUUACGCUAUAGAAAACUGGAAUAACGAUUUGGCCGUUUGUGUGCUUGCAUUCAAGAAUCUUGACAAGUUCAUUCAGGCACCAUUUUGAAGAAGCGUAGUCCUUUGAGAAAAUGACGACCGAAAUUUUCGAACCUUCGAUUGCGUUCAAAAGAGCAGGUGAAAUCUCAUCUCCUCGCCUAAGCUCUUCAUCAUCAAUAAACGUUUUGAUUUUCGUUCUUUCAUUCAAAUUAUAAUAGAGAUGGCAUGUAAAGCUCACGCGAGUGUCCUCUCCUCUGAAACUGAGGAAUACAUCAUAAUUGCAACAAGAAGAAGAGGAAGCCAUGAAGGAAAUUUUAGAAAUUUGGUGACAGAAACAGAGAAUUAAUCUUGAGAGUUGAGAGGGGAUAUGUAAGAAUGAAAAUGCGUAAAUAGUAAAUGAUUGAAUUAAUCUGGCGAGUAAAUAGUAAAUAAUUGAAUGGCCGGAGCUUUCUUAGUUUCCUGGAAAUUUCCUGGAGCUUUCGUAUACAUGAUUUGUCAAGUCAAGAAACAUAAUCAUGAUAAUGGGGCAGACCAGGAAGGAAAGAAAAUUUGAUCCAACCAAUAAAGGAAGGAAAAGUAAAGAAAGAAAAUUUGAAAGUAGAUUCAGAGAAUUAUAAAAAGCUAAAGGAUAUUGGAAUUUUGUACAAUUUCUCUAUUACAGUUUGGAUUAAGAUUUGAGCAAGCGGCCAAAACUACAUUGCGUCAGGGCUUUGGUGCCACACUCGUUUGUCUGUUAGUAGCAUUGGAUUUGAUCUGACGGCUGCAGAAGAGACACAAACAUAAAGAGGAGUAACCUGAGGAAAAGGUAAUAAGCCGGUUACCUGCAGAAAAUAAGUGCAUGAUAAAAUAACACAAGUAAUGAACACAAUGGAAGCGUAUAUGCAAGUAAUGGUUGGAAACAACUUGCUGGAAGCGUGCAAGUAUUGGUUGGGCACAGACCGACAUUAAAUUUCGCAAAUAGUGUCUGAAACAUUUGCAAAUACUUAAUUCAAAACGUCAAUAAAUGCUGGAAAAAAUACAUAUUUUUUUAUUUUUUAUUAAGAAUACAUUUAAAAAAAGAAUAAUUAUUAAUGGUACAUAUUUGUAACAAUUAUACCAAAAACAAUUAUCCAUAUAUUUAAAAAAAAUGUUAACAAUACAUAUUUUUUAGAAGUAUACAUAUUAUAUCAUAAAAAAAUUGAGUUGGAGCUUCGACAAGUAGAUCUUAAAAAACUAAGGUUGAAUUUUGGAGGAGCAGAUUCGGUCGUGGAGUAACAUUUGUUUAUUAUUAUUAAUUUAUUUUGGUAGUCCUAGUGAAACAUCGUUGUUUCACAUAGAUGAUGUCGCAGUUUGAUAGACGGGAUGACAUGUGAUUUUUUAUCAAAUAUAUCGGGCCACAUGGCAUUUUUGACUAGGUGAAUGGAGUGACAUGUUAAUUUUUUUUUUUUUUAAUCAAAGGUUCUUCUAUCUUAGAAGACUAGAUUAGCCUUAUGAUGUCAAGACUUGGAAACGACAACUAACUGACUAGUGGAUAGCAGACACAUGUUGUCAACUUAGGGUAUACAAGGAUACAUGUUAAAAGUAUUGUAGUAUAUGUGAUACAAGUGUCAUGGAAGGCUAUAUGAGUGAUAAUUACUCAUUAAACUAUAAGUUGCAAUAAUUUAACACAACAAGUGCCAAUUAAAAUGUAAUAAUUUAAAAAAAAUUAGGUAUUCUCCGUCUGUCUCCCUCUCAAUCAAUGUGUCCUACUUUGAAUGUUAAUAUUUAUUAUCAAACAUAAAAAAAUUCUAAAAUAUUAAAAAAAAAAAACAGAGUCUUCUAGGCACAUAAAUUAGAGUAGUUUCGUGAACAAAGAACUUGAGAAAGAUAAUGGUGGCACUCUCUUAGAAGGAAUCUAUGGGGUUAAUGUUUUCUUCCCUAUGUCUAUUUUAUGUAUCUUAGUUUCAAAAACAAGAUGUACACAAUUAGGGGUUGGUUAAUGCAGUUAAAACGGUGGAAAAAGGCUUAUAGAAAUAAAAUAUAAUUGUAAUGCAGUGUUUGGUAUGAAUAAGUAAACUAAAAAUAAGACAAUUGGGUAUACGAAUUUAUAAUGCGAUAAUAAUAUUUUUUCCCUAAGACGACCCGUAGGGUAAGAUUAUAGACUAAAUUGUUGUGUUAUGUUAAUGAUACGAUAUAAAAGUGUUGUUUUAGAAGCUGUAAAAGUUAGUUAAUGUGAAAUUUGUUUUUAAAGGUAAUUGUCUUGUAACCCCUUGUUUUUAAGGGUAAGAUUAUAGACGCAAUUUGUUUGUUUUGAAAAAAAGUCCCUUAUGUUGAGCUGGACUUUUUUUCGUCUUCACAAGUCCCUUUUGCCGAGCUGGAAUUUUUCUGACAGAGUCUCCGUUUGUUCCCAUAAUAGCGGCGAGAAUCUGGCCGAGCCUCGAUGAUAGCUCGUUGCUACGACACGUGACUGUGUCCAUUGAGUCUCUAUUCGAAAUCCAAAUGUCGACGACAACGGCCGCCUCCACUAACGGUUCUCAAAUCACGCCGUGCGUUGAUGACGUGGCGGUGGCAAUUAACAACAAUAACUUCAACUCGAAGGAGAGAUUCAACGACCGUGAUUUUUUGUUGAAGCAGUCGUAUUCGUUUGGAUUCGAGCGGAGUCUUGCAUCGAAGAGGAUGGUGAUGGAGGCGGUAAUGGCGUUGCCGUGGAAGUACAAGAGGGGGAGUUACUGGAGCAAACAGUCGUCUCCGUUUGGCUCAUUGACGAAGUCUAGAGUCUUCUGGAGCAAAGGAUUAUAUACUUAUCCUCUUUGUUUUCCUUUUACUGAUACUGUAGCUUUAGCCGAUUACCCAUUUUCCAAGUGUUAAACAUGAGCCGUUGUUACCUUUCUUUACUAUCUAAAUGGUCAUUCGCAAAAGGACAAAUGACUAGGGUAUCAAACCCCUUACGCAAUGUAGCUGGACCCUUAGCAAAGCAUUCACCUAAAUCUUACCUCCGCUGUAAAUUCUUAAGUUUUGAAAAUUAUGAGACCUUUAUAUUGGGAGAUAUUAUAAUCAAAUGAAAAGUUAAAAUUUUAAUAUUGUUAAUAAAUGACAAAGCCAUUUCAUUUCUCUUUUACAUGUUAUUAAUUUUUGUAACACGGGGUGGCAACAUAAGCAUAAUCAAGUAAAGCAAAAGGGUUUCAAAUUAUGGUGGUAAAACGUGAAGAAGGAUGCCAACUGAAUAAUUCCUUCCACAAAACGAAAAAUAAUCACAGAAAAAGGAAUCUCUUAUAAAAUGUUUGCGUAUUUUUUAUAAGGUUUGAAACUUUAGGUGGUCGGUAAAUGAUUUCUUAAUUGAAUAAUAUAUAAAAAAGCUAAUUAUUUAUAAUUUUAAAUAAUCUGAAUUUGUAUGUUAGAAAUUUCAUCUCUUUUAUUUUUGAGAAUUUUUCAUAAAGAAUAGAGAACAUAAUGUUAACAUUUAAAGUAACACAUCUCAAUCGUCGAAAUUAUUUUUCUAUUAAAUCCAACGAUAACGAAUUAAUGUCAGAAAAGGACAAAAUUAGUGGUGGCUUGCAAUAAUUGCAAGGUAGCUUUUGUAAAGACAGAAAUGUGAUGGAUUCAAAAAGAAAUUGAAGUGAUAAUGUACGUGGAUCCUUAAAAUAAAAAGCCGAAUCGCUUGGUGGCCCAGUAAAAUUACGAUUUGAAUUUUUUUUUUUUUUUUUUUUACACAAUGUGUCAAGCACAUAAAUGACGAAAGCCAUUUCAUUUCCCUUUCACACGUCAUUAACUUUUGUAACACGGUGUGUUCAUCGUCAAGUGAGGCAAAAGGGUUUCCAUUACAGUGGGAAAACAUGAACAAGAAUGCAUAAUGAAUAAUUCCUUCGAUAAAGCGAAAAUUAAACAUAAAAUAAUCCUAAAAUUUAAACUCUAAUAUCCUUCGAUAAUGUAUUGAUUAAAAAUAAUCCUAAGAGUUUCCAAUUGAAACUUCCGUAAGUAUUUUUAUUGUUUUGGAUAAACAAAUUGCACUAGGAUAAAAAUUUGGUAAAUUCAGAGGAUAAUAGAAAAUAGCUAUGGUUCAAUAGGCCAAAGAUUAGAGAACAAACAAGAAUUAGUUAUUGAUAUACAAAAGAGAAACACUCCAAAAUUUCAAGCAAAAAUAGUUUCAUAUACCAUUUCGAUUUUGGAAGGGGUGAGGUUUUGAAAUUCAAUAGUUUCCUCUAAAAUCAAAAGGCAGCAAUUAAGUUAGAAAGAGCAAAGAAGACUUAUUGGUACCUUAUUGAAGCUGAACAUUAUGGAACUUUCAAUGUCAUUACCUCACUGUUCAAUUUUUAUUGAGAUUUGUGCAAGCAUUUACCUAAAUUUUACCUCCGCCUGUAAAUUCAUAAGUUUUGAAAAUUUUGAGACGUUAUAUUGGGAGAUAUUAUAAUCGAACUAAAACUUAAAAUUUCAAUAUUAUUAUUCUUUGAAAAAAAAAUGAGAUAUCAGAGUAAUAUCACAUAGAAUGGUAAGCCAAAAGUCUAAUCAACCACAUGCAUAAAGCUAACUAGAACAAGUGAACAGAGAAACGCGUGGGUCCCUAAAAGAAAAGGCAAGCACAUAAAGAAAACGGAAAACAAACGCCAGAGAAAAGAAUUUCUUAUAUGCCUUGAUAUUGAUUAAUAUUCAGCGAUAGCUUAAUGCUUACCAUCAAGCAACUUUGAAAGCAGGAAGCUAUAUAUGACAAGAAAUCAAAGUAAUGUGAAGGAACAUGAUGAUGAAAUUGCAGGCCAGCACAAAAACACCCAUACCCCUGAUUUGUUUAAAUGUACACGAAGACCUUAAGGUUUGGUAAAAGAAAAUUGAAUUUAUAUUGUAUUAUAAUACAAUUUUUUUUAAACCAUCAAUGAUAAAAUCUUCUUACUUUUUUCCAUCCUUUGGAUCAAUAAGUACAAAUUUCUCAUCUAAAUCUUCAUACUUUUUACAAAUGACUUUUGUGCCAUAGAUUUUUUUUUUCUUUUUUUGGUUUUGCCGAAAAAACAAAACAAAUUCAUAAACAACAUUGUAUUUCACCAAUUAACAGUGCAAGUGUCAUUAUAGUUUCCACAUUUUAGUUCUGUUUUUUUUAGUUUCAUUUUCUUUCUGUUAUGUAACUGAUGUUUCAUUGCUAUAAAAUUAAUUGUCUGUUUCUCUUCACAACUGUUAUUUUGAAUGAUUUUUUCUGAAUUUUAUAAACAAUUUGUAUAUGACAGGAAAUGAAGCAGAGUGCGAGCAACUUGUAUGGAUUCCUAAAAGGUCUGGUCAGAGUGUUCCUUUCAAUGCAUACAUCUGGCGGCGAGGGACUAUUCCAAUAUGGUGGGGUGCAGAAUUAAAGCUUACUGCUGCUGAAGCAGAAAUUUAUGUUGCAGAUCGGGAUCCUUAUAAAGGAAGUCUGCAGUAUUAUCAGAGGUUGAGUAAUCGAUAUGAUGCUCGAAACUUUGACUUAGCUGUUGGGGAAAAUCAGAAGAAAAAGCCUUUUAUUCCAAUUGUAUGCAUUAACUUGCUUAGGAAUGCGGAAGGGAAAUCAGAAUCUAUUUUAGUUCAGCAUUUUGAGGAAUCUUUGAACUAUGUCAGAUCAACUGGAAAACUUCCUUAUACUCGAAUUAUUUUAAUAAAUUAUGACUGGCAUGCCAGUACAAAAUUAAAAGGUGAACAACUUACAAUUGAAGGAUUAUGGAAGCAUCUAAAAGCACCCACUCAGGCCGUAGGCAUUUCUGAAGGGGACUAUUUGCCAUCACGGCAACGACUUAAUGAUUGCCGAGGUGAAGUCAUCUGCAAUGAUGACUUUGUGGGUGCCUUUUGCUUAAGAUCCCAUCAGAAUGGAGUGAUACGCUUUAACUGUGCAGACUCUCUUGAUCGGACCAAUGCUGCUAGUUAUUUUGGUGCUCUGCAAGUAUUUGUGGAGCAAUGUAGGCGGCUUGGGGUCUCCCUUGACAGUGAUUUUGCAUAUGGCUAUCAGUCAGCUAAUAACUAUGGUGGAUAUACUGCUCCUUUGCCACGAGGAUGGGAGAAACGAGCUGAUGCAGUGACAGGAAAAACAUAUUAUAUCGAUCACAACACUAGGACCACAACAUGGAUUCAUCCAUGCCCAGACAAACCUUGGAAGAGAUUUGAUAUGACAUUUGAGGAGUUCAAGCAUUCAACAAUUUUAUCACCAGUGUCUCAGCUAGCAGAUCUUUUUCUGCUUUCUGGUGAUAUCCAUGCAACCCUUUAUACUGGUUCAAAAGCAAUGCAUAGCCAAAUUCUUAAUAUAUUCAAUGAAGAACCAGGAAAGUUCAAACAAUUUUCUGCAGCACAAAAUAUGAAAAUUACUCUGCAGAGAAGAUACAAAAAUGCAGUUGUCGAUAGCUCUCGUCAGAAACAGCUGGAGAUGUUUCUUGGAUUUAGGCUGUUCAGUUCAUUUUUUUGUGGUAGAAAUGUCGUCAUUUUAAAUUUAGUGUAUUUUCAAAAAGCUUAUUUUCUCAGAAUAUAAAAAAUAAAAAAAUAAAAAAAGAAUUCUUACAUGUUUCAUCAGCAUGAUUAAAAUCGAAGAAGAAAGCGAGACAUAAUGUCUCUGACAUAAUAAAAUUACAAAAAUUUCAAGGAAAAAAAAGAAGUUAAAACAUGUAAUCUUCAGAAGCAUAUAAUAAAAGAGCACUUCCACAAAUUACUACAAUUUCAUGCAGUAGAGAUUGAAGAGUUGAAUUCCACUUAUAGACACCGACCUCUUGUUUUGUCUAAUGUUAAAAUUACAACCUCUUGCUUUGACUUAUUAGCAGGUUUCAAAAGUAAUAAGGAAUACAUAGAUAAAACAUCAUCUUAAACAAAUCACAAUCUAGAAUUAGAGCAUUUUCGACAUACCUAAGGACCACGAAUACGUGAAAACGGGUGACUCAUUUGUUAAGAAGUGUUGAUUUGAUCGGCUCUGCAAAUUCUCUUGGGACUCGGUUCCAAUUCCUCUUCAUCCGAAGUUCCACUCGCGCUUGGAAAAUCAUCCAAUUUCCAAACUUCGGUAGCAAAAUUGAGAGUAAAAGUGUUGGCUUUGAUCUCGCUGGGAUUUGCAUAUACUGGACAUACUCCGUAACGUUUUAUCUUGCAAUCCUUUUGGCUUCGGUAACACUUAUUGAAGAACUUAAGUGAGACAGUUGUAUGAUGGUAACCAUCGGGAAAGCCAACAUUCAAGCAAGGUUUAAAACCAAGUAUGACAUGAUCGGAAUCAAGGGAGUAUCUAGUGGGCAAAUCGAAACCCAGAUCAACAUGUUUGGUUUCAGAGAGAGUCUUUAUUUCUAAGUCGAAUUGACGGUAGAAGUAAAAAUCACACAUACAACGAGAAUAAACUUUCUUAAAAUCAAGAACAGCACAAAAAGCAAACCCGAUUAAGUUUCUGAAAAAAGAGUGCGGUGGCAGUUGAAUAUAUAUCGAAGAUCCUGAACUUUGAUUGCUGAACCAGUCAGGAAUUUCGCCCCCAGGUAAAACAAUUAGGGAUCCCCUGAGUUCUGAAAGUUUCUGUGAAAUGACAUUUAAAAAAAGAAAAUUGUAAAAUGAAAACCAUGAUUUCAGAUAGGGAUAUUAUCAUUUUUCCACCAAAGGUAUUCUGACACAUCAUGUCAGUACCACGGUUUGGUAAAACUAUCAAUUUACCACCAAACGUUUAAACUGUUAGGAUUUUCCCACUAUUCCGUUAAAACUCAGUUAAUAUGUAACGGAAAAUUUCUAAAAAGUCAAUUUUACCCCUGGAGCAUAAAAGACCAUAUAAUUAACUUUUUAUGAAUUUUGUAAUUAAAUCAUCAUUUGUUGUUCUUCCUUCUUAAAGGACAAAAAUUACCCUUUAUAAAUUUUAUAAAAUUGGCCGUGUAGUGCUAGGUACUUCAUAAAUUAAUUUAAUUUUUAAAGGGCAAAUUUAUUUAUUAAAUUGAUGAGCUCAAGACAAUUUAUUCUACUACUAAAAAUCAAUUUAUGAAAGGGAAAAAAAAAAGAAUGUGCAAACGAAGUAAUUUAAUCUUUGAUAUGAUGAUAAUAAUUUUACACAAAAAAUUAAAUAAAUAAAUUUUCCCUUUAAAAAUUAAAUAAAUUAAAUCAAUUUAUGAAGUACCAAAUACCACACGGUCAAUUUUACAAAAUUCAUAAAUGGUAAUUUUUGUCGUUUAAGAAUAAAGAAUAACAAAUGAUGAUUUAAUUACAAAAUUCAUAAAAGGUUAAUUAUAUGGUCUUUUAUGCUCAGGGGUAAAAUUGACCUUUUAGGAAUUUUCCGUUAGAUAUUAACUGAGUUUUAACGGAAUGGUGGGAAAAUGCUAACAGUUUAAACGUUUGGUGGUAAAUUGAUAGUUUUACCAAACCGUGGUACUGACAUGAUGUGUCAGAAUACCUUAGGUGGGAAAAUGAUAAUAUCCCUUUCAGAUAUAACAAAGAGGGACAGAGUAAACAAGAGAGGGAAUUUGAUACCUCGUUGAUUGCCUUUUCAUAGCCCAGUCUCAGUGAUGCAAUUGCCAUAUGCCGAAUUCUUAGUUGUGAAUCUGCCAAAAUCUUGUUGUUUGCUUUUCCAUUCAGUUUCAAGCAGUUAGUAAACCCAAAAUAAAUUGGUUGUGACUCCAGACAUCCCGGUGCCCAUUGACGAAGGUCAGGAGAGGGUUUCGAUAGCUUUUCGAGUACGGAUGCAUCUAGUUCUUGUAGACAUGACGGAAUCUCUGGCAAAGAUUGGAGCCGGUUGCAGUUCCUUGCAUUUAGUGAUUGUAGACACAAUGAAAGUUCUGGUAAUGACCGAAGCAUGUUACAAUCCUCCAAGUUAAGAUAUUUUAGACACAAUGGAAGUUCUGGUAUUGACCGAAGCAUGUUACAACCCGUCAAGGCAAGAGAUUCUAGACACAAUGGAAGUGCUGGUAAUGACUGAAGCAUCUUACAAUCCGUCAAGUCAAGAGAUGUUAGGCACAAUGGAAGUUCUGGUAAUGACUGAAGCAUCUUACAAUUCUUCAAGUCAAGAGAACUCAACUGCGACAGUUGCUUGAUACUUGCAGGUAAACUCUCAAAGUUAUUUCCACUUAGAUGCAAGCCUGUCAGUGAGGAUAGACAGGCAAUCUCUUGUGGAAUUUCCAUUACAGCACAGUCACUUAUAUCUAGAAGUCCCAAAGAAGAUAAACCUAAUAAUAAUGAUCGAGGCAAUGAUGCCAAACCUUUGCAGCUAGAGAAAGAAAGAAUUCCAAGUACGUUUGAAUCUGUAACAGAGGAUGGUAGUUGACUAAUAGCUGAUUUAGCUGCUGAGAUGUAAUACAAAGAUUCUAAAUUGCCAAUGUUAUCCGGCAACUUAUCAAGUUUAGAGCAACCAUUUAUGAACAAUGAUUCAAGCCCCGGUAGAUUUUCAAAUGACGAUGGCAGCUCUGUAAUUGCCGUCCGGUCUAAAUAGAUGCGUUUUAAAUGUUCCAUUUUCUCCAAGAUUUCUGGGAAACGCUCAAGAUUCAAGCAGCCAAGAAGAAUAAGCCGAACCAAAGAUCUCAAUUUACAAAACCUAGUUGAAAUCCUCUUCAGCCGUUUGCAACCCAUCAAAUCCAACACUUCAAGAUCAGUUAGGCACUCUAUUGAUGAUGGAACUUCUUCUAUUGCAGACUGGUCUAAGUAUAGCCGUGUAAUUUUCCCAGAAAUCUGUGGAAACUCUAUGAGAUUAACACAAGAGGAGAAAUUAAUAGUUACUGGACAAACAAAAUGAAGAUUGCUUGGAAAAGACCUAAGACUUUUGCAGCCCUUAAAAGACAACGCACUGAGAAACUUGAAAUUCUGGAUAGAUGAGGGAACACAAGCCUUUUCUCCUUCCCAAGGUUGCUCAACUUUACUAAAACGCAAAUUCAGUUCAACAAGGUUCUUUGGCUUGAAAUUUGAUGGCAGUGUCCUUAAUGGAUAUGUGUCCCAAUGAAGAUAUCUCAAUUUUUUAGGAAGAUAAUAUAGGCCUUUUGGAAGCUGCACUUUAGAGUAUGAAAGUUGCUCUUCAAUACUCAUACUUAGAAGCUUUUCAAUCCCAUAAAACUUAGGUACAUAAAAUUUGAGCAAUCUCAUAUUAGACAUAUUUGUGAAGGCUCCGGGGUCUAAAUUGAUGCCUUUUAUUUUGGACAAAUCCAAAAAUAUGCCUUCAAUUGCAUCAAUCCCCUUAUAUAAAAAAAAAAAAAACAAAGAAUGGGUAAGCUUAAAACUCAAAAGAAACAUUCGUAAACUUUACUAAGAGCUCCUUAAACAAAAACAAAUUCUGCAAUCUUUGAUUUAAUUUUUUUAAUAUAUUAAAUAUCUAUAUGUGAGAAAAGAAAAUUUUGGGGACCAUUGCAAAAUUCAACUAACUGAAAAAAAAAAUUCAAAAUUUCUCUAAUUUACAAACCUGUUAUCUUAAUAUCUAGAAGUUGAGAAGACAGGGCCUAUUUGAUUGGUAUAAGAUUUCGAUUUUUUUUUAGUCCAUAGAAUCCAAAAUGUUAGUUCAAAAUUAGGGAAAAAAGUCAUUUUUUUCCACCAACUGUAAUUGUAUCCAAGUCAAAUUGAGAUACGACCCUUUUCGAAAGGAUUUAACCAUCUUAUAGCCUCCUUAAGGUACAUUUAAGCUAAAAGGAGUGAUUGGAGGCAGUUCUAGGUGGGCCAAUCAGUCCAUUUUAUUAGUGACGUUUGCUUAAAAAAAAAAAUUAUACUCUAAAACACACUUUUUUUUUUUUAAAAAAAUAUAAUUAUAUUGAAGUAAAACCCGGUGGGCCAAUCCUCAUGGCACUCACUUUGUUCCGACACUCUUCACUAAAUUUGAAGAAAAAUAAAAUUAUACUCUUCACACUCUUAAUCAACAUUCCAAAAUUGAUUAAAUCUGGAGUUUUCUUUAAAAAUUUAAAAUUUGAAGAUUUGUUGUCUUGACACCCUCAGUCAUUAAUUUUACCUAAUUAUGGUUUUUAUGAUUUUGAUUGUUUUGUUCAUAAAAAUGCUUUUACUAAAGGAUGUUCUGGUAAUAAUAAAAUUUAUAAAAAACACAUGGGUGUGCUGGUAUGGUUGGAAAAAUAUGAGUGCAUAACUCCAAACAAAUAAAAGAUAUAUAAAAAAAAGAUGGAGGAUUCUUACCUUAUUAUGCUUUAGUACGCGGCGGAUUUCCUUAGGAUCCCACAACCUACUGCGUCUGCCUGGCUCUUCCUCAGAUUCUUGGCGAACAAUCUCUCGACCCAUUUCUUGCAAUAAAUCAUGCAUUUGCAAGCAGUUAUUUGACACUGUUAUGAGUGACUUGUCCACGAGGGCAUCUAGUUUGUGAGACCCAGAAUCAUCAAGUAUCCUCGACACAAAAUCUUUAUCCUCUCCCUCAAGGAAACACGCAAUAUCUAGAAACAUACUCUUCUGCUUGCGUGUUAAUUCAUUAAAACUAAUCUUUAAUAUAUCAUAAAUAUUAUGAAUAUCAGAUUCACAAAUCCGAUUUAAGUCGUUCAAUACAUUUUCCCAACGGCUUUUAUCCUUGAGGGAGGAACCCAACACUUUAAGAACUAAUGGAUUGCCAUCGGCAUACUCUACAACCCUCUGUGAGUGCCAGUUGAGAUCUUCAGCACAAUGCUUUUCUUUAAAAGCGAAGUUACAAAAAUGCUCGAAAGCCUCAUCAAAUUUCAAUCCAUUGACCCUAUAUAUUUUCUCCACUCCAAAUUUUUCGAGGACUCGUUUAUCCCUAGUGGUUACAACAAUUCUACUUCCUGGACCAUAUUGAUCAAGCCCUCCAAUCAAACCCUCUAAUUGUUCAUCUUUAUUCACAUCAUCAAGUGCAAUCAACACCUUCAUGCGUCGGAGCCUCCCUUUAGUAAAUUGUGGAAUGUUGGGACCAUCUACUUCAAGUUUUUCACUUAAUAUUGUCGAAAGCAUUUCCUUUUGUAGCUCUUCUAGGCCACCCCCUGUUUCUGAUUUUCUCCUAACAUUUUUUGCAAAGUAUUUUCCAUCAAACUCACCAGAGAAUUGAUCGAAAAUAGCUUCAGCAAGGGUGGUUUUGCCUAUACCACCCAUGCCCCAAAUUCCAACAAUUUGGACAGUAUCCCACAAAUCCAUGCACAGCAAUGGUUUAAUCUGCUCAAUUCGUGAAUUUAAUCCAACCAGGCCAUUGGAUGAGUCCGUUGAGACUGUUAUUUUUUCCAACUUCUUCAAAACAUCUUCGACAAUUUUGUUUACAAGUUGCGCAUCAUGCCUAAUAUGAAGGUGCAAAGAUGCAAAAACAUUGAGUCAAAUCGGGCCAACACAGAAACAGAGAUAAGAUGAAUUAGGAAAGAGAGUUACCUGAAUUUUGUGGAUUCGUGGCCAGCUAGAUGGGAUGUUUCUUUCAGUGCAUCCCUCCACUUUUGAACCAUUUCUGGUUUCUCUUUGAGCUGCUGUUCUAGCUUGUAAAAACCGUCCCCAAAAACUCCGGUUUGAUGCCGCACAUCAGAUGGACUUACUUCAUAGAAGACUGGAAUAAUAAUUUGGCCGUUUGUGUUCUUGCAUUCAAGAAUCUUGACAAGUUCAUUUAGGCACCAUUUUGAAGAAGCGUAGUCCUUUGAGAAAAUGACCACCGAAAUUUUUGAACCUUCGAUUGCGUUCAAAAGAGCAGGUGAAAUCUCAUCUCCUCGCCUAAGCUCUUCAUCAUCAAUAAACGUUUUGAUUUUCGUUCUUUCAUUCAAAUUAUAAUAGAGAUGGCAUGUAAAGCUCACGCGAGUGUCCUCUCCUCUGAAACUGAGGAAUACAUCAUAAUUGCAACAAGAAGAAGAGGAAGCCAUGAAGGAAAUUUUAGAAAUUUGGUGACAGAAACAGAGAAUUAAUCUUGAGAGUUGAGAGGGGAUAUGUAAGAAUGAAAAUGCGUAAAUAGUAAAUAAUUGAAUUAAUCUGGCGAGUACAUAGUAAAUAAUUGAAUGGCCGGGGCUUUCUUAGUUUCCUGGAAAUUUCCUGGAGCUUUCGUAUACAUGAUUUGUCAAGUCAAGAAACAUAAUCAUGAUAGGAAAUGGGGCAGACCAGGUAGGAAAGAAAAUUUGAUCCAACCAAUAAAGGAAGGAAAAGUAAAGAAAGAAAAUUUGAAAGUAGAUUCAGAGAAUUAUAAAAAGCUAAAGGAAAUUGGAAUUUUGUACCAUUUCUCCAGCCAGGAACUUUCAUUGUCAUUACCUCACUGUUACAGUUUGGAUUAAGAUUUGACUUUUGAGCAAACAUUCGCCAAAAUUUUACCUCUGCCUGUAAAUUCUUAAGUUUUGAAAAUUAUGAGACCUUUAUAUUGGGAUAUAUUAUAAUCGAAUCAAAACAUAAAAUUUUAAUAUUGUUAAUCUUUAAUCUUUUUUUUAAAAAAUUGAACAACAGAGUAAUUUCUAACAUAGAAAAAGUUGUAUAAUUGUCCAAUUAUUUAUAAUUUUAAAUAAUCCGGAUUGGUUUGUUAGAAAAUCAUCUCUUUGAUUUUUGAGAAUUUUUCAUAAAGAAUAGGGAAUAUAAUGUUCAUAUUUAAAGUAAGUAAGUAACACAUCUCAAUUGUUGAAAUUAUUUUUCCAUUAAAUUCAACGAUGACGAAUUAAAGUCAGAAAAUGACAAAAUCAGUGGUGGCUUGCAAUAAUUGCAAGGUCGCUGGACCCUUGCAAAAUGUGUGAAAGUAAAUAAUUGAAUGCACAGAGCUCGCUUUCUUACUUUCGUUCCGGUUUCCUGGAAAUUUCUUGGAGCUUUCAUAUACAGGAUUUGCCAUGUUAAGAAACAGGGUCAUGAUAAUGGGGCAAACAUUUGAUUGAACCAAUAAAGGAAGGGAAAGCAAAGUAAGGAAAAUUUGAAAUUAUAAGAAGCUAAAGAAACAUCCAACGUCAUUACCUCACUGUUACAAUUUUUAUUGAGAUUUGAGCAAGCACUUACCUAAACAUUACCUCCGCCUGUAAAUUUAUAACUUUUGAAAAUUAUGAGAUCUUAGAUUGCGAGAUAUUAAAAUUUAGAAUUUCAAUAUUAUUAUUCUUUUAAAAUGAAAUUUGAGAUAACAGAGUGAUUGAUAAUAUAGGAGAACUUGACCACGGUAGGCCAAAAAUCUAGGCAAGCACAUGCAUACACAGAAAUGUGAUGGAUUCUGAAAGAAAUUAAAGUAAUAAUGUACGUAGGUCCUUAAAAUAAAAAGCAAAAUCGCUUGGUGGCCCAGUAUAAUAUAUAUAUAUUAUAAUACAAUAUAAUACAAUAUAAAUUCAAUCCUUACCUGAGGCAUGGAUGCACAACGAGUUACCUGCCACGCUGGAGCACCUUGAGGUCAAUUGUUGCUCGAAUCUUGCUUUCUUGUCACGGAAUGGAAAUCUACCUCAGGCUCUUAAGUACCUUCGUGUUGAAGACUGUUCAAAGCUGGAGUCGUUAGCAGAAAGGUUGGACAACACAUCCCUUGAAGAAAUUGAUAUUUCAGGGCUUGAAAAUCUUAAAUCAUUACCUGCCGGUUUGCAUAAUCUCCACGAUCUUCAAAAGAUUUGGAUAUCUGAAUGUCCAAAUCUUGAGUCAUUUCCCGAAGAAGGAUUGCCUUCUACGAAACUGACUCUGCUCACGAUAUGUGAUUGUGAGAAUCUGAAGGCUUUACCCAACUACAUGCACAAUCUCACUUCAUUGAAAACUCUGCGUCUCGGUAAUUGUCCGAAGCUCACAUACUUUCCAGAGCAGGGCCUGCCUAAAUCACUUUUGGAACUAAUUGUCUCUAAUUGCCCGUUGAUAGAAGAAAGGUGCAGAAAGGAUGAAGGAAAAUAUUGGCCCAUGAUUUCCCAUAUACCUUGUGUCCAAAUUAAUUUCAGAUCAGUUUUUAAAGGAAGAUCCAUCAAUUAGAUUGUGUAAUCAUAAUUUCUUUUUUUUUUCCACCUGUAAUUUAAUUGUAAUAUGAACUGACUUUAUCAAUAAAAGAAUAAAAUUAUGUUUAGGAUUGUCAGUGAAGUUGAUAAAGUAAGAAGAGCAGAGGAAAGAAGUAAUAAGAGAAGAAGAAACUCCAGUUCAAGGAGGGAUGUUAGUGAAACUGAUUAAAUGAGAAGGAACAGAGAAAUCGUGUACAUGCUGUUAUUGUGCUCUUGACAGCAGCUAAGCAGCUCACUUAAGCUGACGUGGAUUAGUUAGUUAUUUGGUUUAACAAAUUAUCAUUUUAUAUAUAUAAAUGAUAAAAAAUUGAAUUUAUAUUGUAUUAUAAUAUAUAUAUAUAUUAAACCAAACCAAACUUAUGUUAUAUGGUUUUUUAAAAAAAACUUAUUUUAUAUGGUUAAAAGAAAACCUUAUGUUAUACGGUUUCAAAAAAAUAAACUUAUAUUAUAUGGUUUCUUAUUAAUAAUCACACAAACCUUAAGGACUACCAUUUGUUUUUUGAAAAAAAAAAUUGAAUCUAAAGAUUUUUGAGAAAUGACCCAUUAUAAGUUGAACUUAUAUUAUAUAUAUUUUCUCCUUACAUGGACAACCACAGAAAAGACCGACCAGUUAUCUCCAUGAACUCGUAUAAAUUCAACCAAAAUAACAAUUCCAAUCUUACCAAAUUCUUGAGUUAAAUUUAUUCAAUGCUUUUUUUUUAUAGGAAAUUUUUUCCAAUGCUACUUUUCCUUUUUUGGGGAAAUUAGACCGCGGUAUGUGUAGAAGACAUUGAGGUGUAAAGCGACAUUAAUUUCAUGGGUUAUGCGUUAUAGGCAUAAUAUAUUUUCAGUCCAGAUUCAAUUAUGCAAAGAGGCUUGAGAACUUAAAAUUAACCACAAACUAAACAGACGAAGUAAAUACAUGAUUAUGCAACAUAACAUUAAUUCUCUCAAUUUAUAACUGUUUUUGCUACAUGAAUCUUGCACAGUUAGUCCUAAUUGAAGACUAAAAAAGAACAAUUGGAACAAGGUUUUGGAAUAGAAUGAUAUACAAUCAAUAUGAUCCAUUUCUAGUGGCCAAAGCUAAUUAACUGCAAUUUCUAGACUCCUAAGUAUACUAGUCAUAGGAAACUGUUUAGAAAACUAGUGAUCAGAUUAGAUUUUGAAAAGAAAUAAUGUUCAUUUCCCCUUCUCUACCUUUUUUUUUUUUUGUUUUAUUUUUAUAGCAAAGAAUUAUAUCAUGAAAAGAAUCAAUUUAAUCACCUUUUCCAGCAGCCCAAUUUUUCUUUUAUAAAAUUGGACCACGGAGACAAAGAAGAAUUAUUCAUACCUUCAUCACUAAGGAAAUACUUUUCGGUAUGGCUAAGGUGAGAAAAGGCUUUCCACAAACACUAGUAGUUUGUAUUCCUAUAAAUUUUCUUUGAAGUCAAUAAAAACCAUAAGUUUUUUACAAUAACCAUCUCUUUGAUCAAAAAGUGCCGUAUUCCUUUAGAAUUUAAAACCGGCAAAAACCGAAUCGAUCAGUGUCUUUGAAGAGACAUAAUGGUCGUAAUUCUUUAAAUGAGUUGGCUAUGGAAAUCCUUAUCCAAGAUUCUUUUACGCCAUAUUCUUUCGUAAACCAAAAUUCAUUUUGGAAUACUCCUCGUCCCAACAUACAGAGACAGUCUGUCAUAACUUUAGCCGAAUACUUAUGAUAAUGAUCAUUUGUGAUUUCAUCAGGCAUAGGCAAGAACUUGAACUUGUCUACUACCAACCAAAAGCCGAAAUUCGCCUGCCACCCCCAAUGAUUCCUAAUACUAUUUUAAUACCAAGUUUGAUCACAAGAUAAGAAUCAGAUUUAACACUUUUCCAAGUGUUGUUUCUCAAAGAGAAGUCAUACACAUUUUAUUUUCUACCAGGAACUGUUGUACUAUCUAGCCAAAUGUAAAUUUCCGGUCUUGGUAUUCUCUUACCUCUCUAGUGGAAGGAUUGUAUAUCUUAUAUAAAUAGUUAUUAUAAUUACGCUCCGAGUCUCUCUUUAGUCCUCAAGCACAAUAAGCCAUUACAAGAACCCAAUAUCAAAACCGAUUCAUAAAGCUAACCAUUGCUUUAAUUUGCAAGUUAAAGAAAAAAUCACUUCAGGUUUCAGGGAUACUGUACGUAAAAUCGAGGAAGGUAACUGGAAAACACUUGUAUAUAUGUCAAGCAAACUGCAGGAUUUGUGAUUAUAUGUGUAAAAUAGAUAAGACUGAUAAUAUAGCAAUCGCAUAUACAUGCCAAUCCUAGUGGAGUAAAAGCUCUAUUGCCACUAGAAUUCUGUUCGUGGAAUUUGUUCUCAAAUUUCAACCGUAUGUAAAGUUUGAACUCUAAUUGCUUAUAAUGUAUUGAUUAAGAAUAAUCCUAAGAGUUCCUGAUUGAAAUUUUUUAAUGACUUUUUUAUUGUUUUGGAUAUACAAAUUGCAUUAAGAAAAAAUAUUGUCAAUUUCAGAGGAUAACGGGAAAUGAUUAUGCUUCAAAAGGCCAGAGAUUAGAGAAUAAAGAAGCAUUCAUUACUGAUAUACAAAAGAGAAACACUCCAAAAUUGCUAGCAAACUAGUUUCAUUUACUAUUUGGAUUUUGGAAGGGGUGAAGUUUUGAGCUUCAGUUGUUCCUCUAAAAUCAAAAGUAGCAAUUAAGCGUUCUCAUUUAGAAAGAGCAAAGAAGACUUAUUCGUACCUUACUAAAGCUAACAUUAUGGCAUGGUUGUUCAUAUAUAACGGCUGCUCUGUUAUGCUAGCUUCUCUGUUUUUUUUUUUUUUAUAUUACAUGAGACUAUUGCUCAAAUUACAACUCAUAUUACAUGAGAGUAUAACUGAUAUUUACAAAUCAAACUAUCACUGGGACCAAUUUACAUCAAUGCUAAUGGAACUCUGCCCAGAUUUUAACCCUCACAAAUAUUCGAGGGAUGUCUACUCCUUACUUUUAGGUAAGGGAGAAGACUACCUUCACUCAAUUUUAAUUGAGGAAGAAAAUAACCCCACAAUGCAUUUGCUUCUAUUUUUGCUUGCAGUUUUGAACAUAAAUUCUUGCUCAAAUAACCCAUAAUUAAAUAACACUAAUAUGGCUCGUGAAAUCCCAUAAUAGCUAAUUACGCAACUUUCUCCUCCUCCUCAAUUCUGUCUUCCCCUGCUCGUACACUAAAUUCAAAAUUCAAUGCCCCUAAAAACAACACAAGAAAUCUUUGAGAUAAUUCAUGACCAGUUUAUACAUAGUAGCAAUUGAAAAAGGAAAAAGAAUGAAAGAGUUAAUUAUUAUUCAGACCUUCACGUAUUCGGAAGUUUGUUCUGCUAUUGGGUGAGAUCAAGCUCUCAGCAUAUACUUCCAUAUGAUACUUUCCAACAUUUUCUUGAAAGCCAUCAAUCAUAAAAUCUUCAUACUUUUUUUCAUCCUUUGGAUCAAUAAGUACAAAUUUCUCGUCUAAAACAUACAAAAUAAAAUCAUUGUCCUUCUUGGAACAUAAUGGCUGCAAUGCCUGAAUUGAAUUGGCUAAUGAAAUUUAAGUCCAGGAUUCUCUCAGCCCAUAUUCUUUCAUAAUCCAAAAUUCUUUCGACCAUAAUGUUGACUCUGAGAUUAAACAAAGGCAAUUUCCUAUAAUUGAAUAUGAAUAUUUGGAAUGAUAUGGGCAAACAUUUUUCAGGUAAGGCUAAGAAUUUGAACUUGUCUUUUGCCAAAACAAAUGCCGCAAUCAUGUAAUCAGAAUUGAGCUUACAAAAACCGAAGUGGACAGUUCCAUUGAGAUUGGUCACCCGAGAACAAUGAUGAAAAAACUUAAAAUCAGUUUCAAAGGUGUUCCAAAGUAUUUUUCCUUAAAGAGAAGACAUGCACACCUACUACUACUUUGGCAUUUCUAUAAGAGUGAGAAAACCCUAAAACCUUGAACUCAUCUAUUGAUUGAGCAUAACCUAAGCUAACUAACGGUGUAUCUCUAUUAGUGAAGGGUUCAUAGUCGUUUGGUAUUCUCUUGAACUCUCUAGUUGAACAAUUGUAUAUAAAUAAAGUUUCAGUUGCAGUUUCAUCUCGGAGGGAUAAGCACAACAAAGCAUUACAAGGGCAGCAUAUCCUAAGACAAUCAAAAGAGCUUUCUUUAAUUGGAAAAUCAAACUGAUCUUCCGUAAUAAUUUUGCUAUCGAGGUCUAUACGGAGAAGAGAGUUUCUUACCAAGCUCUUGACCAUAUCAACAAGAACCAGCGUUUGUCCUUGUUGGUUUUUAGUUUGGUUGAUCUUGACGAACCGAGGAUUAGUAAUUAAGGCCCUGAAUGACUUGGAUAAACACUUGAAUAGGCAGAGAGACUUGGCGGGGAGUUUUGCAAACACAUCGACGAUGAUAUCUGGAGGAAGAGCCACAUUGCUUCUUCACCAAGUUAAGCAAAGACUUUAGGGUUUCUUGAUCUCAAUUUGGUAGCCGUGAUGUUUGUAAAGAGCAGUCAUUCGCAUAAAAACUAUUAAAUAUAUUAUUUUUUUAUUCUAAAACAAUAUCAAAGCAUUUUUUAAAUACUGCUCCGUUAAUUUUGAAGUAAAGUUUUUGGGCUCCUUUCAAAAUAUUUUGCCUCUACUCCCAAAUGGGGGUUUUUAAUUAAAUACCCUUUAAUAGUUUUAAAAUUAUUUAAAUACCCCAUCCUUUUUUAGUUUUCAUGGAUACCCUAACAAAUGUGAGUAAAGUCAGAAAUACCCUUAAUGAAUGCAUCAAAUUCACUCAAUGAAUUGUCUUCAUAUUUCUUUCCUCAUUUCUUUCACCCAAAUCUAUUUUUGCUGCCGAUUCUCUCAAAGUCUCUUAGAAUCUCUCAAAAUCUCUCAUAACUUCUUACACAAAUACAAUUAUGUAUUCAUUUCUUUAACACCCACUCUUUCUUUAAAGGUGCAUUGCUUAUUAAACAACCCAAUAAGAGAUGUUAAUGUUGUUAGGUUUUAAAUUUUUUAAUUUUUAGGAAAAUUUAGAAAUUUUCCUCACAUUACAAUGUUUUAUUUUCACCAUUUUUUCUUAUAUGUAGAAAUUUAUGCAAUGUAGGUUGUUUGAUUAUUUUUUUCAGCAAUAUAGCUUAUUUAUGGCGAAAAUGUUUCGCGUUAUGCAUUCUUUUGAUAUCGUGUACGUCAUAUAGUUAGUCAUAUAGGUCAUGUAAAUAAUAUAGUCGUGUAAGUCGUGUAGGUCAUGUAAGAAAUAUAGUCAUGUAAGUCGUGUAAGUAAUAGAGUCGUGUAGGUCGUGUAGUUACUUGUAUAUGAAAUUUGAUAUUAUUAUUUUUAUUGUAUCAUCAGAUAUGGGAAGUGGCUCGUUCUCACUUCGAGGGGAGGUGUUAUGGGAUUAUGACAACUAACAUUGCAGAAAGUAUGAAUUCUCUCUUGAAAGAAGCACGAACCUUGCCUAUUCAUAAGUUAAUGGAUUGUAUCAUUGACAAAUUACAAGAAUAGUUUGCAAAAAGGCGAGAUAUGGAAAUGGAUGCAUGUACUCUAAUUUGUUGCAUUAUGAAAUAACUAAAUUUUUUUACAUUCCAAUUUAAUUUCACUUCUUUGUUUUUAUAAUUUCAGUUGACAUUUUCUACAUAGCAGCAAAUAUAAAUUCUUAGCACCAAUUAAGUCUUUAAAGAACUAAAUUAAUCUAAUGAUUAUUGGAAAAAGUCGUGUAAUACAAGAAGUCGUGUAAUACAUGAAGGUGGUGUAAUCGCAUAAUAUAUGAAGGUCGUGUAAUACACGAAUAUAUUACAUGACCUUACACAACCAAAUCGUGUGUUCAUAAAUUACAGCAAAAAAAUAAAUUUGCAUAUUCGACAGUUUGAGAAAUGAUUAGAUUAAUUAUUAUAAACAAACAAAGUUAUUAGUUUACAAUGUCAAUAUUUGGAUAGGAUACACUAAUGGGCAUCGCAAUUAAACAAAUUACAACCAUUUAAAAAGUUUUUUUUAUCUUCAAACUGUUUUCUUCCUCUGCCCAAGCAUACAUGAGGAAUGUCUGCAAAUAAUAAAUUCAUGAAAUCAAUUAGAAACAACUCUUAAUCAAAGGCUGCUUGAAAAAACCACUUUAGUUAAUUCUUCCUAUUAAUAGCCCAGGACCAUUGAUAGUGAUGGCCUAUAAAAUUUCAUUUUACUAAAUCAAACUAUUCCACCAGCAAUGACUUCAUUUAAAAAAACAAUACUCACAUGUUAGUUGUUCUCCGAAAGUAAUGACUGGUCAUAGAAAAGUCUUUCAGCAAGUUGCUUUCAUGAAGGUCGUGUAAUUGCAAUACAUGAAGGUCGUGUAAUCGUGCAAUACAUUAAGGUCGUGUAAUCGUGCAAUACAUGAAGGUCGUGUAAUACACAGCCUUAAAUCCUACAUAACCUUACACGACCAAAUCAUGUGUUACAUGACAAAAUUAUAAUCGGCACAAUCCAUCAAAUUUUCACAAUUUGCAUGCAGCAAGACAACUAGAAAUUUAUUUUUGAACAUGUAAUGAGAGACCCGCAACUAAUUAAUCUAUAUUUUCUAUAGAAACCCUAACUUUUUGUUUUUUUUCCCCGAAUAUCAACAAGAAAACUAAUUAUAGGGAAUUGCUUACCUCAACUAGUUACAUUAUGACCAUUUUAUAGUAAAAGAUCAACUCUCACCGAUGAUUAUGUAGCGACAAACUAGGCUUCUCUUUCUCAGUUGUGGCAGCUUCUCCUUCUCAGGCUCAGUUUGCUCGUGUUGAAGUUCGAUUUAGCAUGUAUGGAAAAUGAAUAUUUGUUUCGGUAGAGGUGAUGCCGGUGAGGGAAUUGCAGAUGUGAUGCUGGUUGAUAUUUGAUUUAACAUGUAUGAGAAUGGAGGAUGAGUGUUUGUUUGUUUGAGUAAAGGUAAUGAAAGGAAUUGCAGCAGAUAUGAGUGUUUGUUUACUUCAGUAGAGGGGGGAGAGGUGUUGUCCGUUGAGUUGAAAUGUUUUAAAAUGAGGAUAACUUAGUAAUUUCCUAUCAAUUUUUAAAAGAUAUUGAUGAAAAUUUUGACAAAAUCAAAUUUUAAGGUAUUGAGAUAAUUUUUGAAGUAUGGAGGUGUACUUGCCGCAAUUAACUUUCCCAAAUGCCCAGCUAAAUACCCAAUGAAUAGCUCCGCCUCGAAUAUCAGAUGAAUAUCUCCAAUGAAAAUCACGUUCAACUCUUUUUUUUUUUUUUUUCCUCCCCAAGAGCUGGUUUUCACAGAGAAAACGUCUACAAUUUUUUCACAAAAACCAAAUUUCACAAUUUUGUAGUCAUCAAUUUGCUCAGCAUAACAAAACCCAUAUAAACUUUUCACUAUUUUACAUAUAGUAUAAUAUAACUCUUCUCCUCAGUCCUCAGUUCCCUCUUAUGAGAAAACUAAAAUUCACGUCUCCUUCUUCGAUAACAAAUUCACGUUAAAACCCUCAAAAACAACAAGACUUGCCAAUAUUUUAUAAUAAAGAAGAGAGAAACAAUGCCUUCAUAUCCUCGAAGUAAAUGAGAACUUGCAAUAAUUAAAGUAAGUAGUAACAUACGGUUUGCGACCCUGUUGAUGAUAGGCGUCUAGGCUAGCAAGUGGCUUUAGUAUGUAAAACUAUCUAGAAUCAAAAUCUAUGUACAUUCGAUAAGCGGGUCGGUCAGCAGAGUAGUAACCUUGGAUCAGGGUAUCAACUUGGAAACCAAAUUUCUUGUAAAGAUUCACAGCGGGAGUUCUCAAAGGAUCAACAUGAAGCGUUAUGCGGAGCACAGUUCUGGUUCUGCAUUUCUUAAUUGUUGCUUCCAGCAGUGCCUCUCCGUGACCUUGUCCCCGAUAAUUCUCCUUCACUAAUUAAGUUCACCCCAAAACCCAUUAAUUUCAUGUCAAUUAAAAAAAGAAAAGAAAAUGAAUAACUAACAAAUAUUUCUUUGAGGACUUUUAUCAAACAGUUGAGAUUACGGGCAUGCAGUGGAAAUUUCAACAAUGUGGACAAAGAUAUGGGACCUGCAAGCUUGGUGAUAGAAGCAGACAAGGAAGUAGGCCACGCGUACAUGACGUAGCCAACGACUUGUCCAUGAAUAUGAAUGUAAAGCAGGCCUGAGUUCUUCUUUUUCAGCUCUUCAUCAAAAGAUCUUGCCAGUGAUUCGUGCUUGGGAAAAAUCUUCUUCUCCAUCUUCACAAUCUCGUCCACUACGACAGUCCAGUUCGUUGAGUUUCUCUGCAGCUCCGUGACGGUUCCAUUACUCCCCAUGGCACGUGGCUUGUUGCGACUUACAGUUGAUCCAGCACGUACAGAAAAUUAGAAAUGAAGCCUCCUAGCAUUCUUUCGAACAGGCAAAAAAGUCAAUGGACAUGGAGGCGCCAUGUGUGGAAAUGUUAAGAGGAUGAUGAAGCCCCCAAGAGGCCAGCGUGGCGUGGCAUUGCACCUCAUCAUUUUUUUAAUGCUAAUCUGUAGAGCGGCCCAAAAUGACGGCACAAUAUAUAGCUGGCAAAGCCCACCCAAGCCCAACUAUUUGGGCCAACAUAUCAUAAAUUAAAACAAAUAUAAAAUGCACUGUACAGCGCAGACAAAGAUGCUUUGUGCAGAGAUGUGUUUUCUUUAUGGGUCCAAUUAUAUUGGUACCGCUCUAAGGUAGAGUAUCAUUUCAUAACUACAUUAUCAAAAUCAUAAUUAUUUUUUUAUUAUUUAUUACUUUGCGUGUGUGACUGAGAUUCGUGAUCCAUCAUAGAUCAGCUCCAACGUAACAGAAGCCUUCUUUUAUUGCUCAUCAUCUUUAGCAAACAUUCAUUGGCUUUGGAUGUUGCUACAAUUUAUUUUGCAUAAUUGAAAAGUAUAGUAGAUGUGCAUAAUGUUAGAAAUUUUAUUAUAAUAUAACAAAAUACGUAAUAACUUAUACUAAGAUGUUAAGAAUUCAUUGUGCCAAAUUCCUAUAUUUGUCUAUAAUAAAUCAAAAUUUCAAAAUAUAAAAUAUGGAUAAAAUUAAAUAGAAAAUGAUUCAAUUUAUAAAAUUAAAAAUGAAAUUUGAUUAAAUCAUAUUUCUAAGUAUGAAUAUUUAGUUAAACAUUUUUGAAAUAAAGAAAAUUAUUAAAAUUGAAAAAACAAAUAAUUAAAAAAUAGAAUUUUAAAAUUGAAAUAAAACUAAUUUUAUUGAUUGAUAAUAUAUUACAAAGAGAGAUGAGAAAAAUAAAUUGAGGUGAAAGAAGAGAAGAGAAGGUGUGUAGAGAUGUGUUCCACCCUCUUCUAUUUAUACUAAUACAUGGUUAAUCCAGACUACGCAAAUAAAUAAAACUAAUUACACCUUAACCGUAUAUUUGUCACACUGAUAAAACACAAACUUAACUUAAUCCACUAAUGCAUAUCCAACACAUUCCGUUAACAAUUACCAUAAAGUAGUGUACUAGGGUAUAUACAUAAUCAUUUUACAUAACUAUACGCUGAAUGUAAUACAUCAGCAAACUUGGAAAUCAUACAUUCAUUACAAAACUGCACCAUAUAAUACCCAGAGGAAAUAAGUCUCAAUACUUACCGAGAUCAUCAUCGCAUGAAUAGAGGAUAGAAAACCUUUCAAUACCUAACAAAACUUAACUACAUCAUACAGGUAAAGUAAUUUAACUCUCAAUACACAAUGCACAUAGCUUAUAAAGAAGACUACAUAUAUGAUGAUUGGCAAUCACAUAUCAUGACUCAAUUAAAUAUAUAAUACGUGUAUAUAAAAUCAUAACAUGAUAUUAAAUCAUAUUAUCAAUCAUAAAUGCUUCAUAGAAUACAUAAUGGUAAUAAUUGUCUCUACUCACAGAUUUUGUUUCACUCGUGGGUUCGUUGGGGCUCCUGUGGGUUUCUAAAUUCUUGAAAUUCUCAUAAAAUGCAGGAUUCAAAAAUUAACUGUUAGAACUGAUAUAAAAAUUAAUACGUACGAUGUAAAUUAAAUCAUAAUUUCUUAUAUUUCACAAAUCUAUUACCCACUGACUCACUUAAUAUAGAUCUAACUGUCCAAUUCUAUUUCUUAUAAUAUUUCUCUCAAUUCCACUUUUCAAAUUCUUUUCCACUCACAACUUUUUAAUUUUCUUUUUCACUCUUUUCUUUCUUUUCCUCAUUUCCCACUCUCGGCUUCUUUCUUUUCUUUUUCUUCUCUUUUAUCUUCUCUACUUUCUUAUUUCUCUCAUGUUUCCUUUAUUCAUUCUCAGUGCUCAAAUUUGAUAAAAUGAAGCAGUGUCAAAAUUUUGCAUUUAUAUAGCCACCAAACAGCCACCGAAUUGAAGCAAGUAGCUCUCACUUUUUAAAUAUAUGUAGGCACCACUUGAAGCAAGUGAAUAUGUAGCUAGCUGCUUCCAAUUGCCUGCACUUGUGCUAUAUAAUUGUAAAAUUGGACUUGGGUUUGAGAGGCCUCUUCAAUGCUUUCUAUUCUCCCGUAAUUAUUGUUAUUAGAAUAUUCCAACCUAGCCUACGUACAACUGCAUUCUUCACUCGUGCUCAUCGUAGGCCUCUUUCAGCCAAUGGUUAAUACUAAAAAACUUAUCACCCAUAUAAUUUUUUAAUUUGUGUGUAGGGUAAUAAUAAAAUUGAAAAUAAUUAAAAAAUAGCACAAUAAUGAGUUUUCACAAUAAAACAAAUCAAAUGAAAAUUGAAAAUUUAGAAAAGUGUAUCUAAAAAAAAGGAGCAUUUUUGGAAAUAAAAUGAAUAUAACUAAAAAGGGGCUUUUAUGAGAAGAUCAUAGGGGUGUCAAUAGUCCAACUCUUAUAUUUAAAGUUAUUUUGACUUUGUAUUUCCGAUGAUAUAUUUAUUAGGUAAUUUUUAAUUGAGUCAUUAUUUGUAGAAAAUUUUUCUGAGACCAGAAGUUUAUAAAAUGAAUCAAUUAAAUCCCUCUAAGUAUAAAUUUAUGUCAUUCAAGUCUUUAACUUAAUUUCUUCGUUAAAAUUAUUAACAACAUCAAGGACAUUUUAGUUAAAAAACAAUUAAGCACCUUCUCAUUCUUUAUUUUUGACAGCCAACAAUAGUUUAAAGUAAACUCAAGUAACCUAAAUUAAUGUUCUUUAAAAAAAAAGAAAAAAGAAAGAAAGAAAAGGUUAGUUAAUGUGUAGGCAAGCAAUAUCACUUCAUCAACUGCACAGAUAUGAUUUCUUUUCAAGCAAGUGGAUUUCUUUUAUAUAUAUUCAUCAUGUUAUCAAAUGAAUUAAUAAAUUGGUGAUCCUAGUGAUGUGUAUGGAACCAAUAGGAUAUCACUAGCUAUACAUGUUUGAUUUGAUUGUGAAAUCCUAUUGAUUAAUUGUUUUUAAUAAAAAGAAAUUGAAGUCUCUUUUUUCUUUUUUCAUUUUUGGACGGCAUGGAAUUAGCCCACAAUCUCAAUAACUAGAUGUCAAUGAAUAAGCAAUUGACAAUAAUUCUAAACAUGCGAAUUAGACUUCAAUCAAUGUCACUCAACCUGUGGGACAACAUACACAACUUUUAUGGGCUGUAUCUCAACCUCAAAAUGAAGAACCAAUGUUAUUGACAAUGAGUAGAAUAGUACAAUAUUCACCUUGAGCUGGCAUUUAAUUCUCCAAAAUAGAAUCUAGAAGACAAUUAACUAUUUCUUGUACUUGAAUUUCAGUUUACCAUAAUGUUGUCAAGGUGUUUCUUAGUUUCAAUUUAAUUGACCUUCAUACUUUUAGUUUUAUUUUUAGACCGAAUGUUAUUGUGGUUUUUCUAAUAUUAUAUUCAAUACAUGUUAUUUAGUUUAACAAUCAUCGUAUAUUUUAUAAAUGUGACGGAAUUACAUUUUCAUGUGUAAUUCCAAGAGUUAUUAUGGUUAUGUUUUUUAGUGGUGCUCUCUUUAUUCGAAUUAGUUUAAAAACUAAAGAUUUUGUUUAAAUUGUUGCAGAAAUUUGUUCCCGAUUACUCAAAUUGGUAAAUAGGCUAUUAGGCUCUGAAAAAAAAAUUAAUGCAUAAGGGUAAAAUUGUACUUUAAAUCACUAAUAUGAUAUAUAUGGGAAUAUAGUUAUCUUUUUAUGUUUAAAUUAACGUUUUCACUAACUUUUAUGGCCAAAGAAUUAGGUGAAGAAUCUGAAAGACAUAAAUUUGUAUUUAAAAGGAUUUAAUUGAUUCAUUUUAUAAACUUUUGGUCUUUGAAUUUUUUUUCUAUAAAUAAUAAUGACUCAAUUAAAGAUCAUCCUAUUUAUUAUUGGCUGUUUAAAAAAACAAAAGAGAUGACUAGAGUUUAUCACUUUGACUAUAACGUGGGUCAUAUUGGUAGUUGCCAUGAUGGCAUGUCGAAUUUGGGAUGAUACGUUGAGGACUUGAGGUUGGAUUUCUUUCAGCUUAAAAAAAAAAAAAGUAUGCGGCCAAAAUUUUGCUUAAAAGGUUAAAUGUACCCCUGUCAAAGGACCAUCUCACCUCUGACCAUUUAACUUCUACCGUUAAAUCUGGUAUAUUUAACUAGUUUUGACCUAUGCAAUGAUUUUUUCUUGCAAGUUGUGUCAUGUGUGGAAGGGUAAAUUUGUUUUUUUUUGGGUGAACUUGUUCUUUUCUUAAAAGUUUCGGGGCUAUAAGUCUCUUAACUUAAAGUUAUAAUUAUAAUUGCACUAAUGAUACAAUAAAUUUUUGAUAAAUAAAUAUUUAAGAAAUUAAUAACUUUGGGUAAAUAACACACUUCUCCCGCCCCAACUUGCACUAUUUAAAUUAAUAAUUUCAUUUAAUGCAUAUGAUAAUAUUUUUUUUAAAUCCAUUAAGGCCCAAUGAAAAUAUAAAUUAAUAAUUAAUUAAAUAUAAAAAUUCAUAACUACUAAAAUAUAAAUUUGUAACAUUAAAGAAUUCUGUUUUUCUUACAACUUCAAUCAUCUAAAUUAAACUCUUUGCAAAUAAAUGCAUAUAGAGUUGUUUGCUUUUUUUUUUAAUAUUUAUUCCUAAAUUGAAUUCAAUCUCCUCUCUUAAUUUUUUUUUUUUUUUUUGUAGAGCAUGCACCACAUUUAUAACUUUUUUUUUCAUGUUUUAGAAAGUAGUUACUUAAUAUUAUUAUUGCUUGAAAGACCUCUUUUGCAGAAAUAUUUGGCAAACACAAUUAUCAUAUGAAUCGUAAUUGUCAUCAGCAUAGUUAUCUAAUACCCUUUUAAUAAUCUGGUUGAAUUAGUGAGUGAUUCCAUCACUACAGCUAUGCUAUUAAAUAUAGUAGUCAUCAGAGGAGAUAUUGUUGACAUGAGGAAGUACGAUAUGUGUUUAUACAUAAGUAAAAAUAUUGAUAAAACUCUUCCUAAAAACAAAAUAACAAAAUUAUGUUUCUAAAUUAAUAAAUAUUCAUUGAUCAAUAAAUUAAUAAAUUAUUAAAAUUUAUAAAUAAAUAAAUUCUCUAAAAUGAUAUUUUUUUCUUAGUCCUAGCAAGUAGCAAUAUUAUUUUAUAGAGGUUUUAUUUUAGUAAUAGCAAUAGUAUAAUUAUAAUUAUUAUUAUCAUUAUAUAUAAUAAUUAGUUAUAAUAUUUACUAUUAUGAUAGUUAUCAUUAUAAUUGUUAUUAUAAUUGUUAAUUAUCACUAUCAUUAUUAUUAGUUAUUUUACUAUUUAUUAUUAUCGUUAGCAUAGUAGUAAGAUAUUAUGUCGCUAUUAUUAUUACUAUUAAUUUUUUUAUUUUGUAAAUGGGGCAAAUUUCAAAUUUUAAAAACUAUAAGAAGAAUUUCAUUAUUUCCACUAGUUUCAUUCUCAUAUAUAUAGAUACACACACAUAAAGAAAUACGAUCAAUUAUUCACAUUUCUCUAUCCCACGAAUAAAUACUGUAAAUUAUUAUUUUUUAAAAGAAAAAUAUCAAAACGGUGUGGGUCCCAGCAUAAGCCUUCUAACCUACCUUCUCCCUGUAGAAAAAAAAGAAAAGAAAGAAAAACUCAACUUUUAGGAAAAUGUUUUGGAAAAUGAGAUUCUUCCCACGUUAAGCACCACAAUAAGCACCAAACGGUGCGUUUUGGGCAUAGUAUAAAAUGAGCCAACUCACGUGAUACACACAUAGCCACCAGUAAACACGCGCAGUAGAUCUCACGCGAUAUACACCUUUUCUCCAUUUGCUCUCACAAAAAUCUCACCGUUUCUCUCGCUGUGUCUCUCUUUGAUCUCCAUUCUCAAACUUUCUCAGGCAGUGGUGCUCGGCGUUGGUCUCUGGCCGUGGGUUUCCGGCUGUGGGUCUCCGGCCGUGGGUCUCUCACCGCUGGUCUCUCACCGUGGGUCUGCUCUCUCUCUUCUCUAUCAUCUCUAUUCUCAAACUUUCUUAGGCAGUGGUGCUCGGCGUUGGUCUCUCACCGUGGGUCUGCUCUCUCUCUUCUCUACCGUCUCUGUUCUCUCGAAUUGUAUAGGUAAUGGCAAAUUUCCGUGAGUUGAUUUUUAAUUUUUGAAAAUCCAGUUGAUAUUGUGAGCUUAAUUACACUUGGAUUGAUGUUGUAGUCGAAUUGUAUAGGUAAUGGCAAAUUUCCGUGAGUUGAUUUUUAAUUUUUGAAAAUCCAGUUGAUAUUGUGAGCAAAUGAGACAAUUAUUUUCAAUAGUCUUAGGAGAUGGCCUUGUGCUGGAGAUGGGAUUUUGAUAGCCUUAAGAGAUGGUCUUGUGCUGGAGAUGUCAUUUUGAUAGUUAUUUACAUGCAGUUUCUUGGUUACAAUUGGCAAUCCGUUAUAUCCUUUGAACUUGACUACUACAAAUAUUCCAAUUGAUGGAUGAGUUGAUUAUUCUUGUGUUCCUCUUAGACAUUUUUGAAAUGAGUGGCAAACAGACCAUAUUUUUCUUCUUUUUGUUUUCUUUGUAAUUGAAAUUGAAUAAUUUUAUUUGAGCUGAAUGAAAUUAGUGUAGACUUUUUGUUGUACUUUUGAGAUGAAUGCAGUAAGAUGUAUUUCUUUUUUUUUGGGGGAGAAAAAAAGAAAAUUAGACCUAGCACAUACUUAUGUAUUUCUUUUUUUUUGUCUUUGCCUAGGUGAAGUUGAAUUGGUGGUCAUUAGCAUAAAGAUGCAAUUGGUAAUUUUGAAGUUGGUUCAGUAAGCUGGUUUUUAAUAAAUUGACUACCAUUUUUUCUUUCUGGAAGGAAUCUGGGUUGUUGUGUAUAUUGAACAGAAUUUGUUCAAUCAUUAUGUCUUCAAGCACAAGCGAAAUGCAAACACAACUAAAAGCUUGUGAUAAAUGCUGCAACAACAAUAAGGUCUUGCAAACUUCACGUACAAAAGAAAAUCCGAAUCGUAGGUUUUGGAAGUGCAAAGGAUGUGGGGCUUUUGAAUGGGAUGAUGAUUGGAAGAGCAGUGAAUGUACUGAUUUUAGAGGGAUGGAAGAUCGUAUUAUAAAUUAGAAUAAAAUUGAGAUGUUGAUAGCAGAAGUCCGCAAGUUGGGCCAUCAAAUCGAAUGCUUAUCUCUUAAAUUUCAGUUGCUUGAGCAAGAACUUCAACGAAGACAACAACCAAGUGUUCUUGUAACAUACAUCCCGCAAAUAAUGAUAACUCUUUUAAUAUGUAUUAUAUUUAAGUUGUGCAAUUAAUUAAUGUAUUGUUAUUUUUCUUUUUCUUUUUGGCGAAUUGUAUCAUGAAUGCUUCAGUGGAUGUAAACAAAAACUAAUGUUUCUGUAAAGGGCAGGAAAGAUUAUGCUUAUGAUUGUUGCUGUCAUUUUAAUUUGCCUUAUCAUUUGCAUCUUUCUGUCAUUUGAUCCCCAUAACUAGUUUGUAAGGGAAUUGUUCCAUGCUUUUUCACAAAAUAUAGAUAAUUGCUGCACAUUAAAAACACAUUUAUUCUUUAGGAAAUAAUUAAAGAAUAACAAAUCUGCAGUUACAGAGGAUCAAUUCCAAUAGCAUACAAUUAAAAAAUAACAUAAUAUCAUUUAUCUCUCCACCAUUUCAGUAGCACACAAUCAAAGAAUAACAUAUUUGCAGCAUCUCCUCAAUUCCAAUAGCAUACAAUUAAAAAAUAUCAGAAUAUCAUAUAUCCUCUCACCAUUCCAGUAGCACACAAUUAAAGAAUAACACAUGCAGCAUAUCCCUCCACCAUUCCACCAGCAUAUAAUUCAAAAAUAACACAUGCAGCAUAUCCCUCCACCAUUCCACCAGCAUAUAAUUCAAAAAUAAAACAUGCAGCAUAUCCCUCCACCAUUCCACCAACAUAUAAUUCAAAAAUAACACAUGUAGCAUAUCCCUCCACCAUUCCAAUCCAAUAGCACACGGCCAAAUAAUAACACAGCUGCAGCAUAUAAAUCUAAUAAAGGAUCAUGCAUAGAUAAAAAACAAUUUCAUGUAUGAAAUCCACAAUCUUACAUAUCAUAGCCAAGGGCUUGUAUCCGAAUAUUAAUGAGAAUAAAACAAAAACAAUGCUAUUCUAGGAAAUCACUUCGAAACUCCUUAUCAACUUCAUAUUCACUAUCUUGCUGAAAGAGUAGCUGCUGAAAAUGUCCAUGCGGCUGGAAUUGUGGUUCCUAUUAAAAAUAAAUAAAUAUUUUGUUAUAAUAAAAGAAAAUAAAGUAGAUAAGAUGAAUAAAUACUAAAUUUAUCACCACUUACCGUACAAGAAUUUUGUGUAGGUGUUGGAUAAACAUUAUCCCCAACCAUAUGAUGUAAGCUCAUAAGACCCUAAAACAAACAUACAUUAAAUGAAGCGAUAAUAAAAAAAAUUCAUAACAUAUACUAUGAAAAACUUACAUUACAAUAGUCCAUAACUCCAUGUGGGUACAUAUUCAUAUCAACACAACUUCCUUCAGGAUUUUGAAAUGCCUAUAGAGGAUCAAUAAUAUAUUAGAAAAAUGUCUAUGAUUAAGUAAUAAAAAUCAACGACAUGCAUAUGAAUUCCAUAAAACCUACCGUAACAACAUUGUUCUCGUGUGUUGGGAUCACAGUCAGCACUUGCUCGUUCACCUGUCCAUCCUGCAAAGUCAACAAAACAUACAUUUGAACAUCAUUUAUCUCAUAAAUUUUUUAACUUUAAUUAAAUUGAAAAUACAUUUUAAAAGUACCUUUGCAUUAGAACGUGAGGAAUUCAUUUUAGAUUUUGAAAAUUUAUUAUAUUUUUUUCUUUGACAAGGUGGCCGACCUUUACGACGCCGAGCUACUGGAUCUCUAACUGUUUCUACUUCCACACUACAACUUCCUUGGCCUGUAACAAUAGUUACUUCAUUAUCUCCGCAAGGAAUUGCCUUUGAUCAAUCCUCCCGUACAUUCUCAAUCCAAUUGAAAACAAGAUUAGAGCUUUCAAUCUUAUGUGCAGCCAUAUUCGCAACCUCCGCGAAAGUAGCACACAUUUUCUCAUAUCGUUUUUGCUCAUCCGUACAGCUAUGAAGCUCAUAACUCGCUUUCACUCUACUAUGGCAUCUCCACACAUCUUUUCUCCAUCUUCGUAAAAUAUACUUUUCUGGAAGUACUUCUACGUCAUUGCGGAUCAUGAUUGUAAUGGCAUGCCUACAAAGAAUACCUCUAAAUUGGAACCUUGAGCAGCUGCAACGUAUUUCACCAUUUUCUUUUUCAAAAUAUACUUCAAAAAAGGUUCUCUUUUUACCCUCUCCAACUUUGACAUCCUCUCUAACUAUAUAUUCACAACCCAUAGAAUUGACAAAUUCGCAAUACAUUUUCCCAAUCAAUUCUUGCUGAAAUUCUUGAAAUUUUGAAAUAGUGUACACAUCUCGGACUUGCCUCUCCAUUGCAUAAGAUGUUACACGUGGCAUUUGUUGGGAAAGACACCUGACAUCUUCUUCAACUUCCUUCUGAACUUUAUUCUUCAACGCACAACUGUAUUGCUCUACAAACUGCUUCAAAGUAGUCUUUAAGUUAACAUAACCAUCAAAAAAUGCAUUCAUACUUUCACUGCGUUGAGUAGAUUACAUUCCUGCCCAAAAAGUAUUGUUUAGAUAACAAGGUACCCAAUGAUGCCUCUCAUCAUAUAAGCCUCGUAACCAUUCGUUAUCCCCCAAAUCAUAUUCUAUAAUCAUGUGGUGCUAAGUUUCCUCAAAUUUUGCAGCACUCUGGGAAUCAUAAACAGCACAAUGCAAGACAUUACUUAUGUUGCGAUAUUCUUUAUAACCCCCUAGCUUCUCUGGAAUUUUCUUCAUUAUAUGUCAUAAACACCACCGAUGUCGAGUAUUGGGGAAGACAUUCUGAAUUGCAACUUUCAUUGCCCUGUCUUGAUCUGUAAUGAUUCCAUUGGGAGCUGAAUUAGACAUGCAGGAUAGCCAUGUUCGAAAUAACCACGUGAAUGUCUCAAUAUCUUCGUGUGAAAUCAAUCCACACCCAAACAAAAUAGAAUGCCCAUGAUGAUUAACUCCUACAAAUGGAGCGAACGGCAUAUCAUACUUAUUUGUAAGAUACGUGGUGUCAAAUGUAACAACGUCUCCAAACUCCUUGUACGCUUCCCUAUUCCUUGGUUAUGCCCAAAAAACAUUUUUUAAUCGUCCCUCAUCAUCCACUUGCACACUAAAGUAAAACCUAUUAUCUUCUGCUUGCACUUUCAUAAAAUAGUUUUGAAGAGCAGCAGCAUCUCCAUCUCCAAGCCGUAAUCUUCUUUCUUUCUGAACAUGAUUUCUACAAUCUCUUUCUAUGAAUGUCACAUUUUCAUGACCGCUAGCCUCAAUAACAAGUGAUUGAUAAUUUUUACACAAUCUGAUUCCUGCUCGAUCAUUCACAUCAAGCAUCUUUUUUGCAUAUGUAUUGAGGCUAAGAUUGCACCGAAAAUACUUGGAUUUGGUUGGAGUUAACAGCACAUGGUUGUGUUCAAGAUUUAAGCUUCGAAUUGUCCACUUUCCAUCAUCCCCUAAACCAGCUCUCAAUCUAGCAUUGCAGCUUGUUUUUGCAUUAGGUUGGGGCUUUAAAAUUUUCACAGAUUUGCUUCUUGUUUCACCACUUCUCCCACAAGCAAAAGUCACAUUUCUAAAUAUCCCAUCACUAUCCUUUCUACUAGUUCUCCUCAAAACCGGAAACCCUUUUCUUUUACCGUACUCUUUUAAGUAAAUAAACAAAUCGACAUCACUAUCAAAUGACAUCCCAAUUAUUGGCUCAUCAUCCUCCUCAUUUUUCUCCAACUCUUCAACUUCGAUGUCCUUUUCCAUAUUAUUUAUUUCUACAAAAUUGAAAUAAUUCACAUUGACAAAAUGAAAGUAACAAAAUACAAAUAAUUCAGCACAACCUUACAAAACUAAACUAACUAAUGAUGCAAAUUGUGAACACAAAUUUAAUAUAUACCAGCUGAAUUUGCAGCAUAUAUUUAUUUAUUUCGUGCUUACUAUUAACUUUGUAAUAGACAAUUAAACAAAUAAGUAUGGAAUAAUUUAUGGCAGUGUAAAUUACUAGCUGAAUCUGCAGCAUAUACUAGAUAAAAUGCCGAUCACUGUCUUGAUUUUUUAUUUUUCCAUUUCAUUAAGUAAUUUGUUUAACUUAAUUUAAAUUAAAAUAAUGGGUUGCAAAUUGAAAUUUAAGUGAAAUGGGCUGCUGCCAUUUCCUGCCUUGAGUUGAUAGAAAGGUGCUUACGGUCUACAACAUAUGAUGCGGGUUUUUGCCCAUGCCUUUUUGUUUAUAGAGAUCGACUAGACAAGUUUUUUACAAGACAAUGCGUCAUUGGAGAGGAUGAAAUGGUUUAGGCUCCUAAGGGCUGCAUUCUUUUUUUUUUUUUCUUUUUCAAUGAAAUUAAAAAAAAAAAGUAUAUCCUGGAUCGCAAUUAGUGCGUCUACGAUUUAACUAGUCGUCUUGAACAAAGAUUCUAUAACUCCUAAUCUGUAGCAUAUACGCAUCCAAUGCAUACCUGCAGAAAUUGAUUGCCGCAAUCGACGAUGAGUGAAGUCAGUCACCAAGAUGCAACUCAAUUCUUCACACAGCUAAGAGGAUGAUAUACCGUGAGAGAGCCAACGGAUUUCACACCGUGAGGAACAGUCCACAAGUAAAACAGAAAAUGCCUUAGGAGAAUUAGUUGUUCAGAUUUCUAGCUUGAAUGAGGAGUGGGUUUGGUGUGAAUGAGAGUGAGAGUGAUGCGUGCGUGAGAUGCACGUGUAAUGUGUUUGUUUGUUCAAACAGUGGCCUUUUAUAUUGCACACAAAACGUACUGUUCGGGACUUAUUGUGGUACUUAUUGUGUGCUGAAUAUCGGUGCUGAAAUGUUUUUAUUAAGAAAAAAACAAAACAGAACGUAGAAAUAGGAGCAAGCAGGCCGCAGGCCAAAACCUUGGGGGUACCACCAUACGACUUCUGACCUCCCUGCGGGCUUGUCCUUUGCAGGGGUGGUGACAUGUCACAUGCGUACCAAAAAAUAAAAUUAUCUUUUUGUAUUUUUGUAUUAUUAUUUUCCUCCGCUCAUUCACAAGUAGUGGAUGUGAAAGAAGAUUUUAUAUAGGACCGCCGCACUAUUUCAGCAUGCCGUAUUGAAUAACAAUAAAUCUUAUAAGCGAAAUUAAUGAAGAAUCUUAUAAUCCUAUUUAUUUUAGAAUCUGCUUUUCUAUUAUAUGUCUUCUUUUUUGCCCCCCCGCCCCUCCCCUCUUUUUUUUUGCUAGUCCCAACGAUUUUGAAAUAUUAACUGAUUCCCACUGGUUGAGAUAAGGAUAAUUUUUAAAAACCUCCCUGAAGUUUGAGGUUGUUGCAAGUAGACCGUCAAAAUUAUUUUAUUUAUAAAAAAUCUCAAACCGUCAGUUAAAUUUUUCUUAACUAGUAGUUGACUUUGAAAAGAUAAAAUUAUCCUUAAUGACAGUGCAAUCCUUGGCGUGAAAAUCACCGUUCUAUUUUUUAACAUUUUUAGUUACAAUGUCUCAAGUAACUAAAAAAUUUAUUUUAUCCUAUUUAAAUUAUCAAGAUUUCCUUAAAAUCCUAAAAAAAAGAAAAAAAUUGAAGAAAUAGCAACUACUACCAAUCCCAUCAUCACCCAUUCAAUUUUUUUUUCUAGUCAAUUUCUUCAAAAUUGAUAAAAAAACAUUCUUCAUCAUAAUCUACAUUCAGCAACAUCAUCAAGCCUAUAACUAUACAUCGCCUAAUCCAAAGCAUUAAAGACGAACAAGAAAAGAGAGUUAUGUGAUAUGUGAUCGUAGAUCACAAUCUAAAGAUCAGAUCAGGCCACUCUCAAACUUCCACGUCAACGUCCUUCUUGACCGGAGAGCAAAUGAGCCAUGUGAAACCACAUGGAUCCUUGACCUUUUCCACGUGCCCAGCCGCCCACAACAAUACGCGCUGUUGCCUUUAGCAAGCUUACCCUCAUCAACAAUUCCAGCACUCACAGCCUUGGCGAGGGCAGCCUCAACAUCAUCAAUCUCCAAGCAGAGGACGCAUCCGAUUCCCAUAUUCUUAGCUGCAGCAGAAUCAUCGGAAAAGUCAGAGACAAGAAAAAUGGAGCCAGCAAUCUCGAGUUGAGCUCUUGUUCAGCCUUUCGUUUGGUUUCCAUGUUGCAGUUGAUCUCCACAGCACCAAACGCUGUCUUGUAGAACUGAACAGCGUCAGCAACCUUCGAUGCUUCCACAAGCAACUGCGGCUUCAUCCCAUGAAGUUGGCCAAGGUAGCAGGAGCAGUCAUCUUCACGGUGCAGUUCAGAACAUCAGCCAUUGAGAGAGUUUUGGUGUCUAGACAAAGGGAAAGAACCUGAACUUAGGAGAGAGAAAAUCAAAGAGAGAGAAGAAAGAUGAAACCAAAGAGACGAAAUAAAAGAAAAUGAACUUCACCCAUUUUGAUACAGUGUUAAAGGCAAUAAAACGAUAACUCUUUGAUAACAAUACAAAAUAUCAAUAAUGCCCUCAAUUAGUCAAACGGCAACCAAACGGAACUAAAAUGUAACGGAUCUUUUACAACUAAAACGAUUUUGGCCAUCUACUUAUAACAGCCUCAAAUUUCAAGAAAUAGGGAUGGCAAUGGGGCAGAUAUGGGUUGGAUCUACUCUGCUCCAGAUCCAAAUCCAUAAUAAAAAUCAAGAUCCGUAUCUGCUCCAGAUCCGUUAUGAAUCCAUAUUUUUCGCUCCAUAUCCAAAUCCAAAAAAGAAAUAAAUAUCUAUAUCUGCUCCAAAUCCGAAAAAAAAUUAAAAUCCAAAUAUGCUCUAGAUCCGUCAUGAAUUCUAAAAUUCCGUAAUAAAAAAGUAAUAAUUUUUUAGAUUGAAAAUUGAAGGCUAAAAUGUAUUGAUAACAAAUAAAUUAUAUAAUUUUUCUCAAAAAUAUAAUAAAUAUUGUAGCUUAUACUUCUAUACCAAAACAACAAACAAGAAUGAUAAUAAAAUAUCAUUCAGAAGUAAUUGCAGGAGUAAGAUCAAUCUAAUAUUCUAUUGUCUCCUUCAUCAUUCUAGUAUCCACGAUACACCUACCCUCAUUUCUACAACAUUAGAUAAUGACAUAUAAAUUAAAUAUGAUUUAUAUUCAGUCCUUUAUUAUUUUUAUUAUGACCAUAUUUGACUAAAUAUAUGAAUAACUAUAUUCCUUAAAAAUUAUUUGGCCAAUAAGAUAAAAUAAAUUACCAGGUUAUAUUACUUGGAUUGCAAUUUGAAUAUUGCAUGUACAUGCUUUGAGGCUGGUUGAUCUUUAAAUUUACAAAACUAACCUUUAAGUUUUAAGAGUUUAAAUUCAUGAUAAAUACUACUAAUAUGCUAUGAAUAAAAUUUAUUAUCAUUAUCAUUCCACAAUUAUUAAGAAACUUUUAAAAUAAAAUAAAAUUAAAAGAUGAGUGGAUAUGGAUAUGGAUUUAGAUAUUAAGAUAGAUCUAUAUCUGCUCCAGAUCCGUCUUAGAUCCGCACAUCGAUAUCCAAAUCCGAUCCAAAUCCAUUUUAAACCGAUCCAAAUCCGAUCCGAUUGGAUUUGGAUCACAUGAAUCUUGGAUCAAAUCCAAUCCAUUGCCAUCCCUAUCCAGAAAGAUUUUUAAAAAUUACCCGUUGAGAUAACGUUCAUUAAUGGUAUUAGAUUCGGAGCAGACUGCAGACUCAGAAUUUUUUUUUUAGAUAACGUUCAUUAAUGGUAUUAGAUUCGGAGCAGACUGCAGACUCAAUAACUUUUUUUAAAAAAAAAAAAAUUCUGGAGAUUAACAACUUUAUUAAUUAUUCUUCGUACAUAAAUUUUUAGCCUGGAUUAGAUUUAUUUCAAUGGAAUCAGCUUUUCAUUGAAGAAAAUAAAGAUUGACGCGGGGGCGGAGGCCAACCAAUUUUUGGCAUCAGGUUCAACAACUUUAUUCUUUAUGCAGAAACUUUUAGCCGUCUGAUUAAUUUUAUCAUACAUUGAUAUUCGGUCGUUGGAUUAGAUCUAUUUCAAUUACGUGAGACAUAAUUAGCUUUUAAUUAAAGAGAAUAGAGAGUGACGCCGGGACCACCAAUUUUCUUUCCUGACUUUUGUCUAAAAAUUAUUGUGAAGUGCUUAUCUUAACCGUUGACCUGAAUCUAAUCAGAGGGCUAAAAAUUUGUGACUAGGUAAACAAACAGGCACCCAAAGUUCCAUUUAAGAUCAAUCGGAAAGAAAGUGAGCGAGCAUAAUCACAGAGAGAAAAACCUUGUUGAUUUUCCUUAAUACCUUUUCUUCUAAACCCCCCCCCCCCCCCCCGCCCCGGGGGAAAAAAACAAUAACAACCAAAAAAUAAAAAAUAAAAUAAAAGACACGCACAAACACAUUUUUUUUUUUCUAUAGAUUUCAGUUUUCUGUAGAUUUAUCCUGCCAACAUUUUUUCAUAGUCAUUUUCUGUCAAUUCUUGUCGUCCUUCCCAAAAAAAAAAAAUGUCGAUCGUUGGAGAAACCAUUCUAACUGUCACCAUUGAGAUGUUGGUGAAAAGUUGAUAUCAGAUGUGAUUCAGCUGUUCGCACGCCAAGAACAGAUCCAAGCCGCUCUUAAGGAUUGGAAGAAGAAACUGGGGAUGAUCAGGGCGGUGCUCGACGACGCCGUUGAGCAGCAGACAACGAAGCAGUCAGUGAAGACGUGGCUGGGCGGACUUGAGAGCUUAGCUUAUGACGUGGAAGACAUAUUGGACGAGUUUGCAGCUGAGGCUUUGCGGAGGAAGUUGGUUUUCGAACCCGACGAUCUCGUUCAACCUCGUGCAGGUUACUUGCGGAAACUCAUUCCUACCUGCUGCACUAAAUUCAGUCCGCAAAAUGUGAGGUUCGAUUCCAAGAUGGCGGCGAGGAUAGAGGAGAUUACUGGCAGAUUCCAGGACAUCGUAGCGCAGAAAGACCUGCUGGAUUUGAAAGAAAAUUCAGGAGGAAAGUCCAACAAAUUAAGCAGUCGUCCAGAGACCACCAGUUUGGUGAUUGAAGCCGAAGUACAGGGCAGAGAAGAAGAGAAGAAAGCAAUAGUGGAGCUGUUAUUGAAAGAUGAUUUAAGUUCUGCUGGUAGAUUCUCCGUUAUUCCUAUUGUAGGCAUGGGAGGGCUGGGGAAGACAGCUCUUGCCCAACUUGUCUACAAUGACCCAACGGUGGAAAGCCAUUUUGACUUCCAAGCUUGGGUAUGUGUCUCAGAAGAUUUCGAUGCUGUCAGAGUGACAAGAGCCAUUCUCAACUCUCUGCAAAUUUGAAAUUGGAUGUAAAAAAGUGGUGUGGAGAAGAAGAAGUGCAAUGGUUCUCAGCCCACAGAAUUCACAGGUUACAAAUGAUAUGUCAAAUCGAGUGUUCCUAAGAGGGAUACUCCAGGAAGAGUUACCAAAUUUAGAAGAAGUGUCAAUUAAAAACAACGAAGAGCUAACAUGCUUAUGGCGGGCAGGACAUGGAUUACUGCAAGACAUUGGUUCCCUUCACCAAUUGAAGAUUGCGAGUUGUCCCCAACUUGUUUCCUUGGUGGAGGAGGAAGAAAAAGGCCAACAACAGCAAGGGUUGCCAUGCAGACUUCAGGUUCUGGAAUUAAGGAGCUGCCCAAGACUGGUGAAGCUACCACAAGCAUUUCUCAGCUUUAGUUCACUUCGGGACUUGAAGAUCUCAGACUGUGAUUCAAUGGAAGCUUUACCGGAUGCGCUGAUGCACAAAGGUAAAGCACCGCUUGAAAAGUUAAUCAUUUCUGGUUGUCAUACUCUGUAAUACAUCGCCAGGGCCCAGCUACCUCCUAGUCUUAAGAAGCUGAGGGUCUACUAUUGCAACAGUCUUAGGACGUUGGUAGAUGAAGAUCAAAUUUUAGACAUCAAUAGUUGCGGUGGGUACACCUCUGUUCUUGAGCAGUUACAGAUUAUUCAUUGUCCAUCUCUGACAUCCUUAUGGUCAAAAAGCGAGCUACCCGCCACGCUUGAAAAUAUUUAUGUUGAUCGUUGCUCGAAGCUUGCUUUCUUGUCAUUGAGAGGCAAUCUAUCGAAGGCUCUUAAGCACCUUUAUAUUGUUAGUUGCUCAAACCUGGAGUCAAUAGCAGAAGGGUUGGACGACAACACAUCUCUUGAAACUAUGGAAAUUUUUAUUUGUCAAAAUCUGAAAGUUUUACCCCAUAACUUGCACAAGGCCCGCCAUCUUCGACUAUUGAGGAUAAAUGAAUGUCCAAAUCUUGUUUCCUUUCCAGAAGGAGGGCUGGCGCCUUUUAGUAAACUGACUACGCUUGAGAUAUUUAAUUGUGAGAAACUGAAGGCCCUCCCCAACGGCCUCCGCAAUCUCACAUCUCUUCAAUACUUAUUAAUACAAGAUUGUCCAAGCAUAGGAUCUUUCACUGCGAAUUGCUUUCCCACCAACCUUACUUCAGUUCGUAUUGACUAUGAGAAGAUUUAUAAGCCAUUGAUAUUGGAGCGUGGCCUGGGAUUGCACAGAUUCACCUCUCUUAGACAACUCACGCUAUUUGGAGGAGAAUGUUGCAGCUUGGUAUCAUUUCCACUGGAGAAAGAUACAGGAAAGGCACUUCCUGCCUCUCUAAAGCAUCUGUCUAUUUGGAAUUUUCCUAAUUUGGAACGCAUAUCCUCAAUUGAAAACCUCACUUCAUUUGAAUCUCUUCAGCUCUGUUGUUGUCCAAAGCUCCAGGAGUUUCCAGACAAUGGCCUGCCUAUCUCACUUUUGAGACUAGAAAUCUAUGGAUGUCCGUUGAUUGAAGAAAGGUUCGAGAAGGAUAAAGGACAAUAUUGGUCCUUGAUAGCCGAUAUACCUUGUGUCCGGAUAGAUUGCCAUUAUGUGUGAUAGAUCCCAAAGCACAGAGACAACUGUAUCCUGUUUAAAUUCACAAAAUCCAAUCCCAGGUAUGUGUAGUUAGGGAUGGCAAAAAUUCUCACGGGACGGGUAGUCUCGGGGAUUUUUCCCAUUCGGGGAGGGUAUGAGGAUAAUUUCAUACCCAAUUUUUUAUUCGGGGAAGGGACAAGGAAAUUUAAUUUCUUAUUCGGGGAGAGGACGGGGAUGAGGUGGAAUCCCCAUCCCCUACCCAUUUCCCCAUUUUAAUUUUUAAUUUAAUUUUUAUUUUUUAAAAUUACUAGUAAAUAAAUAAUAAAAUUUGAAUUAUAAAAUUAUUAAAAUUGGUAAAAAUAACAAAUAGCAAAAUAUUUAUAUUAUUAAACUUUUAGGCCUAAUUAACUAAUUAAAGUCCUAAAUUUUUAUUUAGGACAUUAAAAAGACCAGAUAGAUUCUAUUAGCCCAAAAAUUUUGUUUUAAUUUUAAAAUUCAUUAAAUAUUUUAAACUUAAAUCUAUUUUUUUAUUUAUUUUUAGAUGUUAUAAUUGUCCACAGCGAAUCACAAUUUUAAUAUCUAAUCUAAUAUUUUCUCUUGAUUUGCUCCGACUUAACUAUUGUGUUGUAAAGGAAAUAGUCCACAUUUAUAAAGUGCCCACGCCACCAUUGAAAAAGUUAAUUUUGAAUCUAAAUUUGAUUUUAUUUGUAACAAUUUUGUAUUACACUGUUAAUUUGUUCAUGAUAGUUUGUAAAAGAAGUUUGUAUCCAUUGCAUGCUGCGUUACUUACUAAUUUAAUGUAUGUGACUUUUGUAAUGAAUAUUAAUGUAAGAUAUAUUUCGAACUUUACUUUUAUUUGAAUUUUUUUAUUUUAAUAUGAUUAACUUAAAAUCGAAAACAAAAAAAUGUAUUAGUUAUUCGGGGAUCGGGGACCUUCGGAGAUCCCCUGUUAUUAUUCAGGGAGGGGAUGGAGAUUCUCUCAAAUAAUUCUGACGGGACGAGGAGGGGACGAGGACAUACGCAAAAUAUCGGGGAUGGGUACGGGGAGAUUGAUCCCCUCCCCUCCCCUCCCCAUUGCCAUCCCUAUGUGUAGUUAAUAAAUAUCCAACCAAUUACAAUUAUGUUUUAAUUAUAUUUCUUUCUUUUUAAAAAAUUAAAUCUCAUGGAUUCUUCUUUUUCUUGAUGUUCUGAUCAAGAUCCAAACAGCUGAUUACACAAUUCCCCACCUGCUCGUUUCUUUCUAUAUCAGCUUAUCAAGGCAAUUUUUUAUUUUUCUCUUUUCAUGGUGAGAAAUACUUUUAUUUAUUAUUCUUAUUUUGUUUCUUUUCUUGACAAUUGACAAAGCUGAGCUACAUCUAAGUCAUUUUCCUUUAUGAUGCUGACCACUGAUGGUUGAUGUUAAGGAAGCUCACAUUUGCAAGAUUAUCAGCAAAGCAGAGGAUCACAGCAACAAUCAUAUGCAGUUACGAGUUGAUGACAUGGCAUGCCAGCUGGAGCCUGGUGGCUAUGUAAUCAGUUAUGCAUGUAUCAAUUAGCUAUAAGCUGUUAUAGUUAGUUGAAAGGAUUAGUUAAUAAUUUGUUGCUAAUUACAACUAUUUGUGCUGAGCUUCAGCUUAGUAUAAAUAACAACAGCUUUGUACAUAUCAUUAAUAAUGUGAUUAAUGAAAUUUAGUUUCUAGAAAACACUCAGAUCUAGUUCAUAUUUUCUUAGUUGCCAAACACGUUUUUCUCGUUCUUCAACUUGGUAUCAGAGCUAGUAACAAUGGCUUCAGUCCAUCUAGCUUCUUCUUCUUCUUCUCAAGCGCCAAUUAAUCAAACAACUGUUAAUUCAACAAAUAUGACAUUCACUUUCAAUACACCUAUCAAGUUAGAUCAAUCCAAUUAUUUGAUUUGGAGAUCUCAAGUUCUUGCUUCAAUUCGCGGCAACAGACUUGAGAAAUUCAUUGAUAACUCAACCACUCCACCUCCUUCACACAUUGCUCAGAGAAUUGAAGAUGAUCUAAGAUCUGUAGAAAAUCCAGAAUUUGCAACUCGGAGAUCACAAGAUCAGGUGCUGCUUGGCUGGUUACCUUCUUCAAUGAGUGAAGGAAUCAUCAGUCUAGUCUUCAAUCUAGAGACUUCUCGAGAGGUAUGGAAAGCUAUAGAAGUUCAAUUUGGAUCUCAAUCUAAAUUUAGACUUCUGCAUUUACGAUAUAUGAUGAAUUCAACUAGGAAAGAUGAUCUGAAAAUUACUGAUUACUUCAUUAAGAUGAAAAGUAUUGCUGAUAAUAUGGCUGCAGCUGGUAGUGCGUUAAGUGAUGAUGAUUUGAUUUUGCAUGUACUCUCUAGCUUAGGUCCAGAUUAUAACUCUGUUGCUACCUAUAUCACUGGACAAGUAGGAGUAGGAAAAAUGAAUGUAAAUGAAGCUUAUACUAUGCUUCUAACUCAAGAAGCUAGGAUUGAACAACAAACUCAUAUGCUAGCUAAUACUGAUGUGAUACAAAACUUUGAGGCUAAUCUUGCCUAUAACAAAGGUUAUAAAAUGGGAAAUAUGUCAGGAGGAAGAGGUUUUGGUAGCUUUGGAUAUAAUUCUGGUUAUGGAAACAGUGGAAACAGUAACAGUAAUGGUUACAAAGGAGGUUAUGGAGGCUCUGGAUUUAAUGCUAAUAGUGGAAAUGCUUAUGGAUCUAACAAUCAGUUCAAGGCUUAUCAAGGAGAUAAUCAGAGAGGUGGAGGAGGAGGUAACUAGAACCAGAAUGCUGGAAAUAGAGGAUUUAACAAUAGCAGACCACCUGGAAACACUAAGCCUCAAUGGAAUGUCUCUAAGCCAACCUGUCAAAUCUGUUGUAGAACAGGCCACACUGCAAAUAUUUGCUGGAAACUUGAGGAAUUCAUGGCAUUUGGAGCUUACAGACCACCACCAAACAGAAAUCCAAAAUCUGCAUAUUUGGCUAAUAUGGAAGGCCCCGCUGAUACUAACUGGUAUUUGGAUAGUGGUGCAACACACCAUCUGACUAAUGAUAUCAACAUGCAUGUUUCUGAAGCUUUUACAGGUAUAUCUAAACUUGUUGUUGGCAAUGGUGCUGGAUUGGAUAUAACACUUAUUGGAAGUGCUGCAUUGAAAUCACAUAACUCCAAUAAUGCCUCUUUAACUUUUAAACUAAAUGAUAUCCUUUUAGUGCCACAAAUUACUAAAAACCUUAUCAGCAUCUCUAAACUCACAAAGGAUAAUGAUGUUGUGAUUGAGUUUACUAAUAAUUUCUGUUUUGUGAAGGACAAUGUGAGAAAUUUGAUCAUAUUGCAGGGCAAAGCUGAAAAUGGUCUAUACAAAUUGCUAUUGGUAAUAGGAAUAGUGUACUGCUGAAGAAGAUUGUACUGAAAUUCAGAAGUUUUGGAUGGAGAAGAAGAACUGAAAAUUGAGGAAUAUGGAAAUGAAGUUUCAUAAAAAACAACAUGACUUGCUAUAUAGAUUUUUCCAAAAGAAUGGAGACAUUUAAAACCCUUAUGCAAAGGACUAUACCCCAGAAAAAUACAUUUGGAUGUAUGAGACUGAAAUUUGUGUUGAUUAUAACUUCUAAGGAAGGGAAAGCAUGAACAUCCAAAUGUUCUCAAGAAUUUGUAAUCUGGAGAGAUGUGAAAUAUAGACUCAUAAGGAGAUUUCAUUGACUGAACUGGUGUAGGCAAUCUGUUUAUAAGGUAUGUGGCUGUAUGAAAAGACUCCCACCAGAAUUUAAUGGGUAGGUUUGCUUGUGCAAGUAGAGUAAGACCAAGUUCUGUAAUAUGCCUAUGCUUUCUCUCUACAAUUCCAUUUUGAUUGUGAGUGUAUGGACAUGAAUGUCUGAAGUGUAUGCCCUCUGUGUGAAGGAGGUUAACAAAGGAUCGAAAUUCUCCCCCCCAGUCUGAUUGAAGACAUUUUAUGGGUUUGUCAAGUUGUUUUUCUAUCUGGUUUUUGAAAAUUUUAAAGACUGAUAGUGUUUCACUUUUGGUUUUCAAAGGAAAGAUCCAAGUAAAUCUUAUGAAAUCGUCAACAAAGCUUAUAUAAUAUAUGUAGCCUUGUGAUGAAAUCACAGGGGCUGGUCCCCAUAAAUUAGUAUGCAAUAUUUCCAGGGGAAACUUUGUUUUGAUAUCAGAAGCUGGAAAAUGAAGUUGGUGCAUUUUUCCUAUUUGACAAGCAUCACAGAAAUUAAAGGUUGUAUUCUUAUUGUCAAGAAUGAAAGAUGAACAUGUUUUGAUUACAUGAUUCAAAAUCUUAGAAGAUGGAUGUCCCAAUCUCUGAUGCAAUACAGAAGUACUUAACAAACACUCAGAGUUUUUACAAGUAGCUGCAGUAGGCAGACAGGAGGUUUUAUUUGAAAAAAUAGAAUUGACAACUGAAAACAUUAAAAGAGGAGAAGUUGAUACAACUGACUCAGCAACAAAGUUUUGACUAUAAGCAGAAGAGGCUGUCUUAUUAGGUGAAACCAAUAGCAAUUUGUAUACCUUUGAAGCUGAAACUGCAGGUAAUGAUUCACAUUCUAAUCACCUUGGUCCUAUAUCUUCACCACUCUCUCACAACACCAUCCCAACCCUCACCACCAGCUGUUGUAUCUCAGCAAUCUAUACCUUCUUCACCAACUCAGCUCAAUCUUCCUAUACUUCUACCUGAUACAACACAAAAUACAUUAUUCUCCCAACCUCCUAUAUCUCACUCUCUGAUUCAACCAACCCACUCAUCUCAACCUAAACCAAAUCUCUCCACACAUAAAAUGAUCACUAGAGCAAAGGCUGGCAUAUACAAACCAAAGGCCUACCUAACAGAUCAUAAUAGCCUGGAACCAUCUACAGUUUCAGAAGCAUUAUCUGAUCCCAAAUGGAAAGCAGCAAUGCAGACUGAAUACCCUUAUGCCUAUGUGCCCAUCCUACAAACUAGUUGGGUGCAAAUGGGUGUUCAGAACCAAGUACAACACAGAUGGCUCAGUUUCAAAACAUAAAGCCAGACUGGUAGCCAAGGGAUUUCAUCAAACUGCAGGUAUUAAUUAUUCUGAAACUUUUAGUCCUGUAGUGAAGUCUUCAACAGUAAGAUUGAUUCUUAGUCUAGCUGUCAUGAACUGUUGGAAGGUCAGACAAAUUGAUGUGAAUAAUGUCUUCUUAAAUGAGGAUUUGUCAGAGGAUGUGUAUAUGGUUUAGCCUGAGGGUUUUGUGUCCAAAGAAGGCUACAUAUGCAAGCUUACCAAGGCUCUAUAUGGAUUGAAACAAGCUCCAAGAGCUUGGUAUGAUAAACUGAAAGGCUGUCUUACUGCCUGGAAUUUCAUCAAUUCAAAGGCUGACACAUCUCUUUUUGUUAAACAUGAUGAUAAGGGCAUUAUUAUUAUCUUGGUCUAUGUUGAUGAUAUUCUGGUUACUGGUCCUGACUCAGCAUUACUUGAAGAAUUUAUCACUAAACUAAGUAAGGCUUUUGCUCUCAAGGAUCUGGGUUUGAUAGCUUAUUUUCUUGGAGUGGAAGUAUGUUACACAACUCAUGGAAUGCAUCUGUCACAGACAAAGUAUAUUAAAGAUCUGAUCAGCAAAGCUUCAAUGCAGAAUUGCAAAGGGUCAGAUACACCCUUCAGUACUGGAUUUAAACUAGAGAAAAAUGUUCAAGGUCCUCUGGGACAAGAAUUUGAAGAACCAGCACUUUAUAGGAGCAUUGUUGGAGGGCUUCAAUAUUUGAUUCUCACCAGGUCUGACAUUGCUUAUUCUGUACACAAACUCAGCCAAUAUCUCAAUACUCCUACACUUCAGCACUGGCUGGCAUGCAAGAAGGUUCUCAGAUAUCUUCAAGCCAUAACUACUCAUGGUUUAUACAUUCAAAAGGAAGGGACACUUGGACUUGCAGGUCUAACAGGAUACUCUGAUGCUGACUAGGCAUGUGAUGUUGAUGAUCGAAAGUCUAUUGGAGCUUACUGUAUUUACCUUGGUAAUAAUCUGAUCUCCUGGUCUUCAAAGAAGCAAGCUAUAGUAGCUAAGUCAAGCACUGAAAGUGAAUACAGGGCACUAUCUUCAGCAAGUUCAGAGCUUUCAUGGUUGCAAUCUCUGUUGUCAGAACUUAACAUUGUUCAGUUACCUACUCCAAUUCUUUGGUGUGACAAUCAAAGUGCUGGAGAGUUAGCUCGAAAUCCUAUUCUUCAUUCUAAAUCCAAACACAUUGAAUUGGAAAUUCAUUACAUUAGAGAUAAAGUGCUUGGAAAAGAAUUAGAAAUAAGAUAUAUUCCUACAGAAGAACAAGUUGCUGAUGUCCUUACUAAAGCUUUGUCAUUUCCCAAGUUUAACUAUUUUAGAUCCAAGCUCAAUGUCAUCAACAGGCCAUUGAGCUUGAGGGGGGAUGUUAAAGAAGCUCACAUUUACAAGAUUAUCAGCAAAGCAGAGGAUCACAGCAACAACCAUAUGCAGUUACGAGUUGAUGACAUGGCAUGCCAGCUGGAGCCUGGUGGUUAUGUAAUAAGUUAUGCAUGUAUCAAUUAGCUAUAAGCUGUUAUAGUUAGUUGAAAGGAUUAGUUAAUAAGUUGUUGCUAAUUACAACAGCUUUGUACAUAUCAUUAAUGAUGUGAUUAAUGAAAUUUAGUUUCUAGAAAACACUCAGAUCUAGUUCAUAUUUUCUUAGUUGCCAAACACGUUUUUCUCGUUCUUCAACUGUUGGAAGUCAACUAUUGUAUAGUAAGAUGAUUUGAAACUUCUUUUAAAACUUCUCUGUCAUCUAGCUUAGAGAACUUGACUGUCCACCAAGAGUCUGGAGUCACCUGUUGCAUCUCAAGUUGAUUUGGUAUUUGUUAUUUUUAAUGAGGAAAUACUUUGCUAGAACUUUCAGAUUGAACAUUGCAGGUAGGAUUAUUAUUCAAGUCGUGACCUUCGAGAACUUGUUGCAGUUGAAUGUUUUUUUUUUUUUUUUGGGGGGGGUGGGGGGGUAAUGACAAAAAUUAUUAAUGUUUAGGAACAACUCUUUAGGGGAGAAGCAUAUAUAUCUGGCUGGCAAUUUUGGCAUAUUCAACUGUUGAUAGUAGAAUGGAUGUAUGGAGGGUUGACUUCAGUGACCACAAUUAAUUAUGUCAUUGUACGGUUAAAUGGUUGCAUUAUGAAAAGCAGAGAUGCGUUAGAAAAUGACAUGGCCUUUGUCAUGCUUAAUCUGUGCCUAUGCAGCUAUUGUAUUAUCUUGGUUAACCUGUGCCUUUUUAAUUCUUGUACUAUGACUGCCUGGUCCUAAGCAAUAUUGAUGGAAAUGACAUCCAGCUUGAAGUUUAUGUAAAUCUUUCAAAAUAAAUUCUGAAUACCCUUGGAUUUGGUGUGUACAAAGUCAAAGAAUCCAUUUAGCUGGUCCUACAAGUUUUAGACUUUGCAGGGAGGCUUCAGAUUUAUAAAUAUGUAACAAAAAAGGUGUAGACUACAUAAAAAGACUUAAAAAAAAAGUGUAUAGAAUUAUUAGCUAUGCUUAGAUAAAUUCCCGGUAAUUACCUUUCUAGUAUUACUUUUUUUCUUGUUGUUUCUUUGAGAUAUUUCAAGAAAUAUACAAUAUAUGCAAACAUAUAACUUCUUGAAAUUUGUAAUUAUAGGAUUCUGUUGACUGGUUGGUUCUAUACCUCUUUGUGGGAAUGGGCGAAACAUCUUGAUACCUUUACCAAGAUCAGUUAGUGCUGAGGUUUUGGCUAUUACUGGAGCUGGCGUGUGACUGCAUGAUCAAGAUGCGUCAAACCUUCCACUGUUCUAUUGGUUUGCCUUUAUCAUUCGGAAUCCAAGUUUGAUAUUAACAGAGAUCACAUCAAUAAUAUCCUAUUUGGGUAGAUGUGGGUGAGGAUUUAAAAUCAAAUUUGAAAUUGAGAGGAAAGAAAAGGAGCCACAAUAAUUAAACAAAAUAAUUCUGAUGAGUUUUAAUCUCGAGGAACAAUUUUCAAAUGCAAAUUUAACUGCUAGAGAAAUUGUAGCUUUUUGUCAUUAGUUAAAAGGAAAAAGAAUAAGAACUAUCCGGCCCUUUCCUUCAUGAAUGUGUUGAGGUUGCUGUAUUAUUUAGUCAGUAUUUGUAAUUUUCUUCCCUGCAGUGCUCUCUGCUUCCUGAAUUUGCUACUGAGUCCAUAUUUUUCUUUGAGCUUUUGCUUCCUAUUGCUGUUACAGGUGCAAAUCUGGGCAAGCAAUAAGAUACACCGGGAGGAAAGGUCAUCAAUGCGAAAAUGGGAUGUCCGAUCCCUCAUCACAUCUUCUUCAGAUUUGUAUGGUCCAGAAAAGUCUGCUAGUGUUGAAAAAUUACCUAGGCAUGUAAAAUUUACUUUUAAGAAUCCUGUUAGGUGCUGCAUUAUUUGGAUCACAUUACAUCUUCAGAGACCUGGUUUGGGUUCAGUUAAUUUCGGGAAGGACUACAGCAUUUGCAGAUGAACCUUCAGAACAAGAUGAUUCAGGAUUGAGAGCUCCACUUGUGGCCACAGGUUUGUCUUUGUCAAACAGAAUCAAGUUAUAUUAUUAUUGUGAUCCUUAUGAGCUCGGAAAAUGGGCAAGCCUUUCUGGAGUUUGAUCGUUAUUUAUAUGUCAGAGAAAGAGUUUUGGGUUUGAUUUUGAUUUGUAAUUUUUGUCAGUUUAUUGAAAUUUUGUUGUUGUAUAAAAGCAGAAUGUAAAGGUAUAAAAAUUCAUUGAUGCUGUAAUGUCUGUACUUUUGAGAAAGAAGAAUUCAAUGUCUUUUCUAUGCCAUUGGAUUUUCCACUGCUGGUAAAACCUGAGCUGUCGAAUGCUCUGUGAACCUUAAGGGCUAGAAAGUAAUUUUCUUUUUUUUUUAAUUCUUUUAUAUACAUAUUAUUAUUGAUAUUACAUUAGACAUUACAAUUACAAUAUUUAUAAUCGUACUAAAUAACUGAGACCAACGUCAUACAUUAACUCACGCCAUACAUUAACUCACUGAAGCACUUGUCCAAAUACUUUAAACCUCUCUAAUAUUCGAGGAGUGUCUACUCUAUUCACAUUUUGUUAGGGAGAGACUGUCUCUACUCAAUUAGUUGAUAAUUAAGAAAGAAUUGAAACUAACCUCCAUAAUGUUCUUAUGAAAGCUCGAACUCUUGCACUCAACAUUAUAAGUGCAAGGUUUCUACCAUUGAACCAAAGACCCAUUGGUGGCUAUAAAGUAAUUUUCAAGAGUGAAGGAUUUAUUAAUCGAGUUCAAAAGAUUGCAAGCUGGUGAGCGUUGGCAUUUAAAAAUCAAUUGUUAUCCUCUCAAUAAUCUCUCUCUUCUGCCGACACCCGAAGCUCAGAAACCCGUUGUUCCGACGGACGUGUAACACUUCCAGAAAUUAGCCUUUUCUUCUAUAUGAAGGUUGAUCUCUCCUCCUGCAGUGUUUUCUUUUUCGAGUGAAGGUGGUUUUCUACUUACAUAUGUCGGGGGUCUUACAAUAUCUAAUGUGUGAAAUUUCUUUCUCAUUUUACCAUAAAGAAAAUGUCAGUAAUGAUUUAAAGCUCGAGUCUUAAAUUAUCUUAAAUUAAGAAUCUCUCAUUACAUUGUCAACCAAAAAGACACUUACAUAAGAAGAAGAAUUUGUCAGUUUGAUUUUAUUUGUAGAUCCAACAUUUCUCAUAUCCUGAGUGCCUUUCCGUAUCAAAUUAAAAUAGUAGUAGCAAAAUCGUAGUGCACAUUUAAUUAACCAACUAAUAGUCUAAGCAAAGAGAGGAUUACAAGUUCACAACACCAUUACAAAGGAUUCAAAAUCCCCGCACGAAAACAUCAAUGUACAGUUAUAAACAACCCGAAUUGGACACAAGAAAAACCCUUCAAUGGAUUGUUUGCCUUCCCAAUGCUAUAUACUGUGCAAACUGCGCACUGGCCAAGAAAAUGUUUUCAAUUUAGUGUACUUUCAAAAUGCUUAUUUUCUCAGAAUAUUAAAAAAAUAAAAAAAUAAAAAAAUAAAAAGAAUUCUUACAUGUUUCAUCAGCAUGAUUAAAAUCAAAGAAGAAAGCGAGACAUAAUGUCUCUGACAUAAUAAAAUUACAAAAAUUUCAAAAAAAAUGUUAAAACAUGUAAACAUGAAAGUAUUUUCAAAAGCAAAAUGGAAUACAUAGAUAAAACAUCAUCUUAAACAAAUCACAAUCUAGAAUUAGAGCAUUUUUGACAUACCUAAGGAAAAAGAAUACGUGAAAAUGGGUGACUCAUUUGCUAAGGAGUGUUGAUUUGAUUGGCUCUGCAAAUUCUCUUGGGGCUCAGUUCCAAUUCCUCUACAUCCAAAGUUCCACUCGCGCUUGGCAAAUCAUCCAAUUUCCAAACUUCGGUAGCAAAAUUGAUAGUAAAAGUGUUGUCUUUUGUUUCGCUGGGAUUUGCAUAUACUGGACAUAAUCCGCAACGUUUUAUCUUGUAAAACUUUCGCUCAGCGAAGAACUUAAAUGUGGCAAUUGUAUGAUGGUAACCAUCAGGAAACCCAACAUUCAAGCAAGGUUUAAAACCAAGUAUGACACGAUCUGAAUCAAUAAGGUCUUCAAUAUAGCGCGAAUUGUAACCCAGAUCAACAUGUUUGGUUUCAGAGAGAGUCUUUAUUUCUAAGUCGAAUUGAAAGCUGACGUAAAAAUAACGAAAACAAUCAGAAUCAACUUUCUUAGAAUCAAGAACAGCACAAAAAGCAAACCCGAUUAAGUUUCUGCAAGAAGAGUGCGGUGGCAGUUGAAUACAUAUCGAAGAUCCUGAACUUUGAUUGCUAAACCAGUCAGGAAUUUCGCUCCCAGGUAAAACAAUUAGGGAUCCCCUGAGUUCAGAAAGUUUCUGUGAAAGGACAUUUAAAAAAAGAAAAUUGUAAAAUGAAAACCAUUGAUUUCAGAUAUAAGAAAGAGGGACAGAGUAAACAAGAGAGGGAAUUUGAUACCUCGUUGAUUGCCAUUUCAUAGCCCAGUCUCAGUGAUGCAAUUGCCAUAUGCCGAAUUCUUAGUAGUGAAUCUGCCAAAAUCUUGUUGUUUGCUUUUCCAUUCAGUUUCAAGCAGUUAGUAAACUCAAAACAAAUUGCUGCUGACUUCAGAGAUUCUGGUGCCCAUUGAAGGUCAGGAGAGUGUUUGGAUAGCUUUUCGAGUACGGAUGCAUCUAGUUCUUGUAGACAUAACAGAAUCUCUGGCAAAGAUUGAAGCCGGUUGCAGUUCCUUACAGUUAGUAACUGUAGACACAAUGGAAGUUCUGGUAAUGACCGAAGCAUGUUACAAUCCUCCAAGUUAAGAUAUUGUAGACACAAUGGAAGUUCUGGUAAUGACCGAAGCAUGUUACAACCCGUCAAGUCAAGAGAUUCUAGACAAAAUGGAAGUACUGGUAAUGACUGAAGCAUCUUACAAUCAAUCAAGUGAAGAUAUUUUAGGCACAAUGGAAGUUCUGGUAAUGACUGAAGCAUAUUAAAAUCCUCUAAGUGAAUAAACCUCAGCUGCGACAUUUGCUUGAUAAUUGCAGGUAAACUCUCAAAGUUAUUUCCACUUAGAUACAAUAUUUCCAGUGAGGAUAGAUAGGCAAUCUCUUGUGGAAUUUCCCUUACAGCAUAGUCACUUAUAUGUAGAAGUCCCAUAGCAGAUAAACCUAAUAAAAAUGUUCGAGGAAAUGAUUCCAAACCUUUGCAGUGAGAGGAGUCAAGACUUCUAAGCAUGUUUGACAAUGCAACAGAGGAUGGUAGUUGACUAAUAGCUGAUGCAGCUGCUAAGAUGUAAUACAAAUAUUCUAAAGAGCCAAUGUUAUCCGGUAAAUUAUCAAGUUUAGAGCAAUCUUCUACGAACAAUACUUCAAGCCCCGGUAGAUUUUCAAAUGACGAUGGCAGCUCUGUAAUUGGCGUCCUGUCUGAAUAGAUGCGUUUUAAAUGUUCCAUUUUCUCCAAGAUUUCUGGGAAAUGCUCAAGGUUCAAGCAGCCAAGAAGAAUAAGCGUAACCAAAGAUCUCAAUUUACAAAAGCUUGUUGAAAUCCGCUUCAGCCGUUUGCAACCCCUCAAAUCCAACACUUCAAGAUCAGUUAGACACUCUAUUGAUGAUGGAACUUCUUCUAUUGCAGACUGGCCUAAGUAUAGCCGUGUAACUUUCCCAGAAAUUUGUGGAAACUCUAUGAGAUUAACACAAUAGGAGAAAUUAAUAGUUACUGGACAAACAAAAUGAAGAUUGCUUGGAAAAGACCUAAGACUUUGGCAGCCCUUAAAAGACAACGCACUGAGAUACUUGAAAUUCUGGAUAGAUGAGGGAACACAAGCCUUUUCUCCUUCCCAAGGUUGCUCAACUUUACUACAACGCAAAUUCAGUUCAACAAGGUUCUUUGGCUUGAAAUUUGAUGGCAGUGUCCUUAAUGGAUAUGUGUCCCAAUGAAGAUAUCUCAAUUUUUUAGGAAGAUAAUCUAGGCCAUUUGGAAGCUGCACUUUAGAGUAUGAAAGUUGCUCUUCAGUGCUCAU